rnacentral:lncRNA from 1 species
UUUGAGUACGUUUAAUAAAUAAAUAAACAAAUGCAGUAGGUCAGUAAAUCUUUUUCUAGUCAAAUAUAUAGUUAGAAUCAUAUAAUGAUUAGGUAUUAAUGUUAGUAUAGUAAUUUCCGUUAUAUUUUUUGUUACCAUGAACAGAUGGAGUAUACAUAUCUUGCUUCUAGCGAAUUCAUUGAUGAGUUCAUCGAACCUAUACUGGAUCAGAUUGUGGUGGUAAUGCUACAUUGAUAUGCUUUGAGUUUGAGUAAUUAUUAUCAGUGUUAUCGUGUAAUACAUGCAUAUGUGAGUGGUUGCUGCUGUGAGUGUGAGUGUAUUCUUCUAUAUAUUUAAGACUGAGAUUAUGAUUUUAGAAAUGUUGUAUUACUAUUGUAAGGAAUUGUCUGUUGGGAAAAUAUGCUCUUUAAAAGCAUAUGUGUUUAUUUAAUUGUAAUAAACAAUUUUUCUGAUUAAUAAAAUAAAUGAGGUAUUUUAUUCAAAUAUCUUAAUUGCAUUAAUAUUUGUAUUAAAGUCCAUUUAAUCAUAUUAUAUGUAUUUAUGUGAUCACCAUGUGGAUUCACAGAAGACAUAAAUACAAGUUAUCUUAUGAUUAAAUAAAUUUAGUUCGCAGUUGAUAAAUAAAGUUGGGCACUUUAUUUAGGUAUAGACUGUAAUAAAUUCAUUGAAUGAUUUGUCUUAAUCAUGUAUGAAUUUAUUGAUGUAGUACGACUACAUUGAACAGGAUCACAUAUGAGAUUUAAUUAACUUUGUAAUAACUGUCAGACUUAUUAAAUCUCAUAGGCGUUGAUUUUACUGUAAUCUUAAUCUUGAGUUAAUUAUGAUUUCAUGAUUGUGAUUGUUAUUUCAUUUGAGUUACCAAUGGGCACGACACAUCCUUGUGGUCAAGAUUACCCGGUAUCUUGGUGGGAGCAAUUAUGAGUAUUGGAGUUAUGGAUUAACAAUAUAGAAUUUGUACAACACAUCUCUUGAUAGGUUUUCGGUACUUGAUCAUAGAAUUCUCUGGCCAGAGUGUGUCAACAUAUUUAGUAUGUUGAAAAUGAUCAUUAGAGAAAACCAGUAAGGAUCAAGGAAUAAGAUGUUAUUAAAUUGAUUGGACAGUUGAGAUAUCAAUUUAAUUAACGAUGUGGUACAAAGGAUUGUGCAGUAAAGAAAUCAAUGUGGCUUGGGACGAAUUAUUAUUCGAGCAUACAAUUAUGGAAGUCAGUUCCAAUCUUUUAGUGGAGUAGAUUUGGAAUUAAAUAAUUGGGCUAGUUUAAUUACAGGCCUAAUUAUUGUAGCCACUAUUGUAUGUUCCCAAAUGAUCCCCGGGUUAGCUCAUUUAAUUGAUUGCACCACUGCUGGACUAAUAAGCAAGAUAACUAGCUAUUUGGGUCAAAAGCCUAAAUAUAUCAUUUAGUGGGAGGCUCCAUUUAAUAAGCUUAUGUGUAAGGGGCCUUAUGUUAUUUUACAUGGUGGGUCCCCUAUUAAAUGAAAAGUAACGUGAGUUUUAUUUUGGGGGAAUCCUUGGAACCUAGGGUUUUCACUAAAGGGAGAUAUAUAAGGCUUAUUUUCCCAAAAAGGAGAAAGGGAAGCCACUUUAUACAAAUCAGAGAAUAAGAUUUUUCUCUCCAUUGUUGAGAGAAAAAUUUUCUCGUGCUAGUUGCUUUGGUAGUGAUAAAGGCGCCCACACGUCAAGUGCAGAUCGAACCUGAGUCAUAACCUGGAAGAUCAUUGGAGACAGUUCGUGAUCUAACAAGCGUGGUGGUGACGGAUCGUGAUCUAACAGGAGUGGUGGUGGCGGAUCGUGAUCUAGGAGCCUAAAUCACUUCAGUGGAAAAAGCAAACUCAGAUUUACAAGGUACGAUUUCUAGAAUACGAAUUCUUAUAUAUUAUAUGAGAGCGAUCUUCAAAAGGUUUUAUAAAAAUUUAAAAACCUGAUUUUUCCCCAACAAUUGGUAUCAGAGCCAUCUCAUAUUAAUAUAUAAGAAUUUCGUAUGAAAUUAAUCUUGAAAUUUAUGUAUUAGAGUGGCACAAUUUAUUCAGAUGUAUAUUAUUUAUUUAAUAUAUGAAUAAAGCAUGCUUAUGGUUUGUCUUAAUUCAUGGUUAGAUUUUCUUUUGUAUUGUUCUUUGGAUCUGUAACAAGAGGGGUGGUUUUUUAUCACCAUGUUUCCCUCUUGAUUUAUUUUACAGUUAUAGAAUUUUUGUAAGCCAAAAUUGGUCUAGGAAAUUUGUAAAUUAAUCUCAGAUUUUCAAGAUCGGAGCGACGGAGGCCGGAAAUUAUGACAGCGGCAGCAAACCAGGGCAUGCUGCAGCAGCGUGCGCGGCCAGCAAUGGCCAGCAUCGCGCGCUGCGCUGUGCGCAGCAAAGCAGCGCGCGCGGCCAACAUUGGCCAGCGGCGCGCGCUGCGCUGUGCGCAGCAAGCAGCGCGCGCGGCCAGCGUGGCCAGCAGCGCGCGCUGCAUGUGCUGCAGCUGGAAGCAACGCUGCCGAGGCCAGCAGAAAGUUGCGCGCGGGUUUUGGCACGUUUUCCGGCCAGGCGGCAGCAGUUGGUUUGGCGUCGGCGUCGGCGUCGGAGGUCGGCUGGCGUCUGAACAGUGAAGGAGGAUUUUGGAGAUGGCGGCUGGGGAAGAAGAAAGAAAGAAAAAUAUGGAUUUAGGGUUUCAUGGCUUUUAUCAUGGAGGUCCCUAUGGUUCCAUAAUUUUUUACUUGGGCAGUCAAGUUUUAAUUUUUUGCAUUUAAGUCUAAAAAUAGUUUUGGGCUUAAAGAAUCCUAGUUUUAGGCCCAAUUGAUAUUUGGGCUUAAUGGAUUAAAAAUGCAUAGACAAAAUUAAAUACAUUAAAUUUAUUUUUGGUCCAAAAGUUUUAUUUUAAUUAAAAAAAAUAAAAUAAAAAUAAAAUAAUUUAUUUAUUUAUUUCCUUUCAAAAUUAAAAUUGGACCAAUUAUAAAUUUAAAAGCUCAAUUUCCCAUAGUCCAUUAACAAAAACAAGCUUAUGGAAUAUGGACAUUGACAAGAAGCCCAAUGAAGAUUAGGCUUAGGGUUAAUGUAUUUUUCAUUAUUAGGAAAGCCAUGAAUUAAGAUUAUUUAAUAGUUUUUCUAUAUGUUAUGUUUUGGAUGAUAACAUGCCAUGAUAACAUGUCAUAUAGAAUAGGUAGUGCCACUCUAUGCAUAAUGAUACAUGUCAUUCAUUAAUAAUGAAUUUCAUUAUAUUGUUUGAAAUUUGUAUAUGCUUAAUAAUAUUUGAUAUCAUCUAGAUAAUAUUAUAGGAAGCAUGCAAUUAACAAUAUGUAUGUUUUAAAAAGGAAAAACCAAUUUUAAAAUAUUGAGUGGGAGAGGGAAAAUUCAAGAUAAUUUUCCCACGGGCUCCAUUGUUAGUUCAAUAAUAAAAUUAUAUAUAUACCUCGACUUCAUGAUACGGUGAUGCUCCCUUCGGAGGGUAUAUAUAUUAGAUAUUUUAUUUGAUGAACUUCUUCAAAGAUAAAAUUGAAAUAUUUUUCAAUCGAUUGUUCACCCCAACGGUGACUAUUGAUAUGAAAAAUACGUAGAUUGAAACAAUGGUUAUACACUCAACUAAAGUUUGUUAUUAACCUUCCCAACGAAGCUCUGUUAACAAAUUUAGGUCCAAAGGGAUAACGAUAAUUAUUUAUCAUGUCUCUACAUGAAAGUAAAUAAUCCAAUGGAUAAUUGAGUCUAGUAAGUGUAGACAUGACUUCCCCAACGGAUAGCUUGUCAAAGCGGUACUAGAUUAUCGUUACAAUAAAUUAAAAUGCAUUUAUGGUUUUUUGCAUUUUUGUCAUUUAUUGUGAAUAUUGUUUCAAAGUAUUUAUGCAUGUGUAUUUUAUUUUUUCAGAAAAUGUCUUCCAUCAACCCAUUAUUAUUUAUCCUUGUUAAAAAUGAACUCACUGGCGAAAAUUAUUUAGAUUGGAAACGCAAUCUAUUUAAUAUUCUCACUGCUAAGGGAAGCAAAUAUGUGUUGACCCAGCCUUGCCCUCCUGAACCAUCGUUAUACGAUUAUAGAAAUCAGAGGGAGCCUUAUGAGAAAUGGUGCGAAGCUAACAAAAUGGCUAAGCGCUAUAUAUUGGCUUCGAUUUCUGUGGAACUGCAUAAGAAACAUCGGAGCAUGGAAACAACCACUGAAAUAAUGGCUAGUCUUCAUCAGAUGUUUGGGCAAAAUACCCAUUUUGCCAGAGAAGCAGCAUUAAAACGUAUUACGGAUACUCAGAUGGAAGAGGGCACAAAAGUUCGUGAUCAUGUCCUCAAAAUGAUGGACUAUUUGAAUGAGGUAGAGAUUCAUGGUGUUCAAAUCAAUGAUAAAUCAAAGAUUAACAUGGUGAUUGAAUCUUUACCUGAUACAUUCAAAGAGUUUAAGGUCAGCUAUAUCUUAAACAAUAAAGAUAUGACCUUAAUUGAAUUAAUGCACGAACUACAUGCUAUAGAAGAAUUUUAUCAUAGCAGAAAACUUCCUGAAAAAGGAUUCUCUUCAAGGCUUAAGUCAAAAGACAAGAAUGAGCAAGCAAGAGUUGGGAUCGGCAAACUGUCCAUUAAAAGAAGUGGCAAGCCAAAAGGCAAGUGUUACAAAUGUGGACAGAAGGGUCACUGGAAGAAAGAUUGUCCUAAGAUUAUUAAAAUCAGGUAUAGGAAAUCUUUAAGCUUCCUAAUUAGUUCAGAUUUCUAUUGAUUCAUACAAUAAUGAAUUCUGAGAUAACUAAUCUUAUUUGUAAUUCAUUUAUUUGGUUUUCAGGAAACCAAGAGAUUAAGUGAAGAAAGCUUCAAAUAGCAGUUGAGGAUGUGCUAGUUUAUAUCAAUUGAAAGACUAGAUCAAUUUUACAAGACUUUAGUUUUGAUAUUUGUCUUUAUUUUUCCAAAUAUUAGAGGAAUUUAAUUUCAGUGGCUUGUUUUAAUAAACAGGAGUACACUGUUAUUUUUGGAUCCUCUGUUUAUUACUUAUUUUGGUUAUUUAUAAAGACAAUUUAUAUCAUAAAAGUACAUUGAUCUAUUCAAAGUAAGAUAUAAUGAUUAAAAGUAUAUGCAUUUAUCUAAGAAAAGAAAUGUUUCUUCUAACCAAAAAUCACCUCUGAUAGUUAUGCUUAAGUCAUAUAAACUAUAAUAAGAUUUUAAGAAAAUGAUUAAUGAUAGACUUGUUGGCCUAUUAAGAUUGAUCAUUGUAACUCUAUAAAUCUUAUUUAGAAAAGUAAUAUGACAAGGAUACUCUUUAUGAGCUAAAAGCAUAACAUUGUAUUUGAUGAUUUAGCGCAUACAAAUGUAUACGGACUAAUCAGUUUACAUGUUAUAAGAGGUUAUGAGUAUUCUAUCAAUCUAGUUGAUGAAUAUUCAUUUUAUGUUUGUCUAAAUGAGUCAUGAUUCCAUUGCUUUUGAAAUUCAAAAGAGUACGUGAAUAAGACAGAAGCAAUUAGACAGGAACAUAAAAGAAUUUCGAUAUGAUCGAAACAAAGAAUAUCUCUAUGGAGAAUUCAAGCACUAUUUGGUUGUCAAUGAACACUAUGAUACAAUAGUGUAAUUAAAUGGAGAAACAAGAUUCUUUUGGAUAAGACAAGAUAUAUACUAAGUGGUUUAUCAUUUACCUUUUUGAUUCCAGAUACUAGUAUUUGAAACUACAAAGUUUAUUGAACUUAGUUUCAUCUAUCUCGGUGUCCACUACUCCAAGAAAUUAUGAAAAAGUCACAAACAUGGUUUGAGACACAUUCGUAUUUGGAGUUUACUAGUAUUUCUACUAGAAUCAGAGAUAGAGAAGAUGGAUUCGUGUUCAGAAGCUUGCAUGUUUUAGGUAUCUUAAAGGAAUAAGGGAAAGUCUGAAUUAUAGUCCUCAAGAUAGGAAUGUAUUUAUAGAAAUAUUUUUUACUUUCUUUGAGGAAGACUAUAUAAUGACUUAUAACCUAAGAGUAAGGUAAAACUAGAGAAAUAAAAGAGAUCAGGUUGAUGCUCAGCUUUCAACACCUGUUAUAGAACAGGAAGAACAGCAACAACCAGCUGAUCAGCACAGGAUUAUCCUUGAACAACCAUCACUUUUAGAACCUCGUCGUAGUGGGAGGGUAACUAGGUUACCUGCAAGAUACAUGUUUUUGGGAGAAACCUAUAAGGCUAUCUCAGAUGAACAUGUACAAGAUCCCACUAGUUACAACGAAGCUCUAAUAGAUAGAGAUGAUGAAUUUUGAAAAAGGCCAUGAAUCAAGAAAUGGAAUCUAUGUAUUCCAAUAAAGUCUGGGAACUUGUAGAGGCACCAAAUGGGGUAAAACCUAUAGGGUGCAAGUGGAUCUACAAGAGAAAAAGAGGAGUAGACGGAAUGGUGGAAACAUUUAAAGCAAGAUUAGUAGCCGAAGGGUUUACUCAGAAAGAAGGAAUCAAUUAUGAGGAAACCUUUUCUCCGGUUGCUAUGCUUAAAUCCAUCAGGAUUCUGCUCUCCAUUGCUGCAGUGCUAGAUUAUGAAAUUUGGCAAAUGGAUGUCAAGACUGCCUUUCUUAACAGGCAUCUUGAAGAAAACAUCUACAUACAGCAACCAGAUGGAUUUAUACAAAAAAGGCCAAGAACACAUGGUAUGUAAGUUGCAGAGAUCUAUUUAUGGAUUGAAGCAAGCAUCCCAGUCAUGGAACAUCAGAUUUGAUCAAGCGAUUAAAUCACUUGGAUUCAUUCAGAACAUUGAUGAACCAUGUGUGUACAAGAAAAUUCAGGGAAAAUUUGUAGCCUUCCUAGUUCUUUGUGUAGACAAUAUUCUCCUGAUUGGAAACGAUAUAGGAGUAUUGACUACAAUAAAGAUUUGGUUAGCAAAACAAUUUGAUAUGAAAGACUUGGGAGAGACAAGUUAUAUUCUUGGUAUCAAGUUACUAUGAGACCGGAAGAAUAAAACUUUAGCCUUGUCUCAAGCGGUCUAUAUCGAUAAGAUAUUGGCUAGAUUUAGUAUGGAAAAUUCCAAGACUGGUUUAUUACCAUUCAGACAUGGAAUUACAUUCUCUAAGGAUCAAUCACCUAAAACAUCUGAAGAGAUAGAGAGAAUGAGACGAGUUCCCUAUGCAGAAGCUGUGGGAAGUCUCAUGAAUGCCAUGCUUUGCACUAGGCCAGACAUCUGUUUUGCGGUAGGGAUGGUUAGUAGAUAUCAAUCUAAUCCUGGACCUGAACACUGGACUGUGGUCAAGCAUAUAAUGAAGUAUCUGAAAAGAACUUAAAAUUAUAUGCUUGUGUAUUCUGGUGAUGAACUUAUUCUAGUGGGUUAUACUAAUUCUGAUUUUUUGUCAGAUAAGGAUUUUAGAAAAUCAACUUCCGGCUAUGUGUUUACAUUGGGAAGUGGAGCUACUAGUUGGAUGAGUGUGAAACAAUCUUGUAUCACAGACUCAACAACUAAAGCUGAAUAUGUGGCUACAUCUGAAGCUGCAAAAGAAGCUAUAUGGCUCUGCAAGUUCCUACGAAAUCUUGAGGUGGUACCUGUUGUAACUGCACCCCUUAAACUAUUUUGUGAUAAUGGUGGUGCGGUAGCUCAAUCUAAGGAACCAAGGAACCACAAGAAACAAAACAUAUUGAAAGGAAGUAUCAUCUUAUAAGGGAAUAGUGUAGAAAGGUUAUAUGACAGUACCCCAAAUGGCAUUAGAUGCUAAAUGGCAGAUCUUAUUACAAUGGCCAUUAGUGGGAAACCUUUAUAACCUGCACUUAGAGCCCUAGAGCAUGUGCAAUAUGCCAGAUAUGCUUUGAGAGCUAGUGGGAGAUUGUUGGGAAAAUAUGCUCUUUAAAAGCAUAUGUGUUUAUUUAAUUGUAAUAAACAAUUUUUCUGAUUAAUAAAAUAAAUGAGGUAUUUUAUUCAAAUAUCUUAAUUGCAUUAAUAUUUGUAUUAAAGUCCAUUUAAUCAUAUUAUAUGUAUUUAUGUGAUCACCAUGUGGAUUCACAGAAGACAUAAAUACAAGUUAUCUUAUGAUUAAAUAAAUUUAGUUCGCAGUUGAUAAAUAAAGUUGGGCACUUUAUUUAUGUAUAGACUGUAAUAAAUUCAUUGAAUGAUUUGUCUUAAUCAUGUAUGAAUUUAUUGAUGUAGUACGACUACAUUGAACAGGAUCACAUAUGAGAUUUAAUUAACUUUGUAAUAACUGUCAGACUUAUUAAAUCUCAUAGGCGUUGAUUUUACUGUAAUCUUAAUCUUGAGUUAAUUAUGAUUUCAUGAUUGUGAUUGUUAUUUCAUUUGAGUUACCAAUGGGCACGACACAUCCUUGUGGUCAAGAUUACCCGGUAUCUUGGUGGGAGCAAUUAUGAGUAUUGGAGUUAUGGAUUAACAAUAUAGAAUUUGUACAACACAUCUCUUGAUAGGUUUUCGGUACUUGAUCAUAGAAUUCUCUGGCCAGAGUGUGUCAACAUAUUUAGUAUGUUGAAAAUGAUCAUUAGAGAAAACCAGUAAGGAUCAAGGAAUAAGAUGUUAUUAAAUUGAUUGGACAGUUGAGAUAUCAAUUUAAUUAACGAUGUGGUACAAAGGAUUGUGCAGUAAAGAAAUCAAUGUGGCUUGGGACGAAUUAUUAUUCGAGCAUACAAUUAUGGAAGUCAGUUCCAAUCUUUUAGUGGAGUAGAUUUGGAAUUAAAUAAUUGGGCUAGUUUAAUUACAGGCCUAAUUAUUGUAGCCACUAUUGUAUGUUCCCAAAUGAUCCCCGGGUUAGCUCAUUUAAUUGAUUGCACCACUGCUGGACUAAUAAGCAAGAUAACUAGCUAUUUGGGUCAAAAGCCUAAAUAUAUCAUUUAGUGGGAGGCUCCAUUUAAUAAGCUUAUGUGUAAGGGGCCUUAUGUUAUUUUACAUGGUGGGUCCCCUAUUAAAUGAAAAGUAACGUGAGUUUUAUUUUGGGGGAAUCCUUGGAACCUAGGGUUUUCACUAAAGGGAGAUAUAUAAGGCUUAUUUUCCCAAAAAGGAGAAAGGGAAGCCACUUUAUACAAAUCAGAGAAUAAGAUUUUUCUCUCCAUUGUUGAGAGAAAAAUUUUCUCGUGCUAGUUGCUUUGGUAGUGAUAAAGGCGCCCACACGUCAAGUGCAGAUCGAACCUGAGUCAUAACCUGGAAGAUCAUUGGAGACAGUUCGUGAUCUAACAAGCGUGGUGGUGACGGAUCGUGAUCUAACAGGAGUGGUGGUGGCGGAUCGUGAUCUAGGAGCCUAAAUCACUUCAGCGGAAAAAGCAAACUCAGAUUUACAAGGUACGAUUUCUAGAAUACGAAUUCUUAUAUAUUAUAUGAGAGCGAUCUUCAAAAGGUUUUAUAAAAAUUUAAAAACCUGAUUUUUCCCCAACAUUGUCAUCAUAUAAUAUUCAGUGUUUAAUAAUAAAAACUUGAAAUACAAGUGUGCAAUCUAAGAGGGGGGUGAAUUGGGAUUCUAAAAAUUAUUUGAUUCUAAAACAAAUUAUCAAGUAAAUCUAAAAUGAAUUUAAUGGAAUAACAAUUAAAUCAAUUACAAUAUGAAAAGAUAAGGGAAGAGAGAUUCAAACACGGAGAUUUUUACGUGGUUCGGCCAACUUCGCCUACGUCCACGCUUCCAAAUUUUCUGGACUUGAGGAUUUCACUAAACAAGCCUCCAAGGUUUCAAAUGCUUACACUUGACUUCCAAGGUUAAGGACAUAUUAUUUAGAGAUAGAAAAAGUAGGUACUUAUUUGCGAAAUCGUGUAAGAUUAGGAAUCUGAUACUAAUUUCUCAUUUUUCUUUUUCUUUUUUUUUUUAAACAUUUAUCUAAUCGUGCGCCUACUGUUGUUUUAUUUACCCUGAGGUACGCGCAUACUGCACUCGCGCCAUUAGAGUGUUCGGAAAACGCGGGGGUAUGUUGGGUAAUUUAGGCAGCAAUAUCCAAGCUAAGGAGAUAUUUUUGCUGAUGUGUCAGUUACAAUAGCGCGCGUUGUUGGCCUGCCCCUACGCGCAAAACUGUAGGGUCAGUUUUUAGGGGUCGAGGGAGUGGCGUUGACUGGAUUUUAUAACGGAUAUGGUCUUUGGGGCGCUAUAUAAGGGAAAAAUGUAUAUUUAGUGGGGUUUGAUGGUUUGGUUUCAUUUUCUAUUUUUUUACGCGAAGGAUCUGACGGCUAGCAUUAAAGAUGCAGAAUCUAUAAUUUGCUUUGGGAUUGGGGAGUUAAAACUUACUAAGGCACUCUAAUAUCCAUAGGAAAAAAAAAAAAAAGAUAAGUGGCAGUAGUUAGCGUUAAAAAAUACAGAGAAACUUUAUGAAAAAAAAAAAAGAAUGUAGGUGACUCUAAUGUUAGGAAAUUACAUGUGAUUUGAUUGAAUUAGCUUUUUUGGUUUUGUAAUUGCUUUAAGUUGCUCAAGGAAUGAUCCCGCAUAGGCUCACUCAUUAUAAUCUAUAUAUUCUAUCAAAGUGUUAGUUUUUGCGUGAAUUAAAGAGAAAGAGUGCUGGAAAUUUCAUUUUAUUUACUUUUCCAUGUCGUGGAUAAAUGAGAGCCGAAACAAUGUUAAGUCUCUUCACAAUAAAAGUAAUUUUCGUACAUCUUUUCCUUCAGCUUUAUGAUACGCAAUGCACAUGGUCCUUAGUCCCUACACUUGCCCCUUUAUUAAUUAUUGGUUGAGAAACUUGUGGGCCUUAAAUGAUCGCAUAUGUACUUUUUUCCUUCAUUAUCACCCUUUCGCACUAAGUAUCACAAUCGUAUAUUAAGGCAACAAAUAUAAUAAAAAAAAUAAAAAAAACCAUUAAAAGAAAUUGUAACCGCUACUCAUCAAUAAAAACCCAUCUUGGUUUGGUUGGAAGAAUUUCCGUAAAAAUACAGAUGGCAUUUGAUUUGAAUUUGAAAUGUAAAUUUAAUUAAGGAAACUAAUAAACAAGGAAAUACAAAUCCUCAAAUAAAUAAAUAAAUAAGGAAACACAAAUCUAUAUAUCUAUAUAAAGCUAGGACUUGAGGAGAUGAUGUGGCAUCACCAUUUUGCUUCUUUGUAUAUUCUCUAUUAUCUAAUAAAUAGAGAAUUUUUUUUAAGAUUUAGUUUUUCAUCUUCUCAUAAUUAAUUUGAUUGUAUUUAACUCAUUUAAUAAAUAGUAACUUUAUUAAUAUAUAUCAUUCAUCAUCUUUUUAUAUUUUGUCUAUUAUCUAAAAUAUCUAAAAUAUUGGUGGAUAUUCUUUGUACUUUUUUUCUCUUUCUAUUUAAAUUCAACAAUAUGUAAUCAUUAAUAAUAAUUAAUUAUAAGUCUUUUGAAACAUUUAUUUAUUUUAUUAUGCUAGCAAUUAAACUUUAGUGGCUUAAAAUACAUGAAUUAAUUAACAUAGGAAGAUAGGUUCUUUUAUUUUCCCUCAACAAUGCCACUAAGACCUAAUUUUAAUGCCAUAAUCUCAUAUUUAAUUAUACAACCUUUUGUUGAGUGUCUUUUGGCUUCUUCAAAAUUUAUUAUACUAUCAAUUAAACUUUAGUGCCUUAAAAUACAUCACCUAAUUAACAUAGGAAGAGAGGUUCUUUUAUCUUCCCUCAACCUCAUCUUUUUAUAUUCUCUAUUAUCUAAAAUAUUGGUGGAUAUUCUUUGUACAUAUUUCUUCUUCUUUCUAUUUAAAUUCAACAAUAUGUAACCAUUAAUAAUAAUUAAUUAUAAGUCUUUUGAAACAUAUAUUUAUUUUAUUAUGCUAGCAAUUAAACUUUAGUGGGUUAAAAUACAUGAAUUAAUUAACAUAGGAAGAGAGGUUCUUUCAUCUUCCCUCAACAAUGCCACUAGGGCCUAAUUUUAAUACCAUAAUCUCAUAUUUAAUUAUGCAACCUUUUGUUGAGUGCCUUUUGGCUUCUUCAAAUUUUAUUAUGCUAGCAAUUAAACUUUAGUGUCUUAAAAUACAUAAACUAAUCUAUCUAUAUAUAUCUAUAUUUAUAUCUAUCUAUAUAUAUAUAUAAAGCUGAGACUUGAGGAGGUGAUGUGGCAUCACCAUUUCUCAUCUUUGUAUAUUCUCUAUUAUCUAAUAAAUAGAGAAAUUUUCUUUUAGAUUUGGCUUUUCAUCUUUUCAUAAUUAAUUUGAUUGUUAUUACACAAUAACAAUUAUGUAAAGAUUUUAAUGAGACAUAUUUUUUGUAAUGAACAUCCAAAGGGGAGUGUUAUGAAUUAAUUAAAAUAAAUGUAGAUGUUUAUAACAUAUAUCUCUUAGUCUCCCCACUAUCUCCCAUUAGCAACAUUUACCUUCCCCCCCACUAUCUCCCAUUAGCAACAUUUACCUUCCUUAUAACUCCCACUAUCUCACAAGGAAUUAUGAUCCAUAAUUUUUCAUUAAUUUCAUGGAGUGAUUAUCUAUAUAUCUAUAUAAAGCUAGAACUUGAGGAGGUGAUGUGGCAUCACCAUUUUGCUUCUUUGUAUAUUCUCUAUUAUCUAAUAAAUAGAGAAUUUUUUUUAAGAUUUAGUUUUUCAUCUUCUCAUAAUUAAUUUGAUUGUAUUUAACUCAUUUAAUAAAUAGUAACUUUAUUAAUAUAUAUCAUUCAUCAUCUUUUUAUAUUUUGUCUAUUAUCUAAAAUAUCUAAAAUAUUGGUGGAUAUUUGAUUAGUAUUAAAAAUUGUUUAAUUAUCAAGCGAUAAUAUGUUAUUUUAUGCUUAUGUUAUAAUUUAUAUUUGUGUUUAUGUAAUAUAUUAUGAAUUAUUAAUUAUGUUUUAAAUAUAUUUAAUUUUGUGUAUUUUUAUGUGUUUAUUAGGAAAAUUAUUAAUUUCACGUACUUCGAGGCUCCAAACAGAUAAACGGAGGUCAAAUUUGGAUUCCGGAGGUCCGAAAACCUUAAGAUCAGUCAAGAUCGGCUUAAAAUUGGGCUUGUGUAAAAAAAGUUGACUUUUCCUGUUGACCGAGCACUGAUUGGAUGAUGAAAUGAGCUUACAAUAGAUAUGAGUGCAUGGGAUAACUGGCAAUCUUGACCAAAUCUCAACCGUUCAUGAUUCAAUGGCCAUGAUUGUGCCACGUGGCAAUGGUUGGUGAAGCAAGUUGGAGGAUCCGAAUCUUUGUAUUCGGGUCGACCCGAUCCACCCAUUAACCCGCCAAAUCUCAACCGUUCUUUGGGUAAAUCGGACGAGUCAAAUGAUGCCAUGUGUGAUGUUGACUUUUGAAGUUUGACCAGCCAUUGGAUCUUGAUCUAAGGGUUGUGAGGAGCACAUGCAUGAAGCCUAUGAUGGACCGCAAAGCACGGGAUUAUGAAUUUAUUUUUUCUAUAAAUAGGGCCUCAUUUUUAUGUUUUAAUCAUCUCUCUACAACUCUCUUCUUCUCAAAUUCUCUCCAUCUCCUUGUAAUCUUGAUUUCCAGGUGUGUUUUUAAUAUUUUGUAUAAUUAUUUUCAUUAAUAAAAUUAGUUUUAUUUCCAAUUUUAGUUGUUUUUAUUUCUUUUAAUUAUAAGUAAUUCAAUUUUACUACUUUUUUUUAUUUUAAUUAUGCUUAACUAAAUAAUAUUAGUUAGGGGAAGGUGAAACUCUUAAGAAAUAAAUAUGAUUUAAUCAAAUUCUAUGUUUAAUUUUAUAAAUUAAAUUAUUUUCUAUUUAAUUUUAUACAUGUUUUAUAUUUUGAAAAUUUGAUUUAUUGUAGACAAAUAAAUGAAUUUGGCACAAUAAAUUCUUAAGAUCUUAAUAUAAGGCAUGGUGAAAUGGUAUUUUGACUUAUUGUAGACAAAUUAAAUUUUGGCACAAUAAAUACUUAAUCCAUCAUAAAAUUAAAGGGAAAAUAAUAAUAAUUUGUAUAAUUAAUCUUUUGAGUAAUAAAUCUAAAACAAAUUGGCAAAAAGAAUUUAUUAAGUUUUAUUUGUUUCUAAGAGUGGAUCCAUAACCCUAACUAGUUCAAUUCCAUAGUUUCAUUUAAAUUAAGUUGUUUAUAUUCAAGUUUUAAUUUCAAUUUUUAGAUCAAAUAAAAUAAAUUAAUUAAAUCUUUUCUCUGUGGAUCGACCUCGGACUCACCGAGUUAUAAUACAACAAGACACUCUUAUACUUGGGAGUUAAAAUUUACUUUUAAGUUGUGUCAAGUUUUUGGCGCCGUUGCCGGGGAAAAGUUUUUUUUUUAUUUGGUUUGUUUUUCCGUUUUUUAUUUUUCUCUUAUAUGUAAAAUUUCGUUUGCCCCCUUUUCCUUUUCUUAAAUUCUCUUUUGUCCCCAUAUCUUUCAUAAUUCUCGUUUCACCCCAAAAAUUUCUGUUUCUAGCCCAAUCUUUUGGUAAUUACGUUCGGACCCCGACACUUUCAACUGUUUCACUUUCAUCCCAAAUUGUUAAUUCUAAACUUCUAAAAAUUACAGUUUGACCAUACAAUUAAAAAUAAUUGGCAAUAGAAUCCCUAGACGAAAUUCCUCAACAUAAUCAAGACUUGGACAUACUUGGACAUACUUUGGACAUAUUUUGGACAUAUUUUGGACUUAAUUUGGACAAAACUAACUUUAACUACUAACUCUAAUUACUAACUCUUAACUUACUAACUGCUAACUUCUAACUUUUUUUAAUUUCAGUUAUUUAAUUUUCUGCAUUUAUUUUAUUUCGCAUUUAUUUAUUUUUGCUUUAUUGGUGGGUUUAACCACCAAACUAACUACUAACUCUUAACUUUUAUUUUCAGUUAUUUAAUUUUCAGUAUUUAUUUAAUUUUGUAUUUUUUUUUUUAAUUGGUGGGUUCAACCACCAUUUUUUUUUUAUUUUUAUUUUUUUUUGCAUUUAUUUUAUACUUAAUUUAUUGUUAAUUGGUGGGUUCAACCACCAAAAUUGUUAUUUAAUUUUCUUUUGUAUACAUAUAUUAUUUGCUUAUUUAUUUUUUUUAUUUUGUUAUCACUUUGUGUAAAUAUUAUCUUUAUAACAUAACCCUUGCAUGAGACAUUGGUCUCGAUCUUCAAGUGGCAGGUUAAUUCGUAAAUCUCAAUCUCCACCACCAAUCAUGGAUGAGAAUGAAGGCGAAAACGUUUUGGGUGAACUUAAUCCUCAAAUUGAUCAGGGAGACAACCAAUCUCAACAUGGGCAUGAUCAGAAUCAACCAAGGACUCUGAGAGACUACAUGAAUCCAACCAGAACCGGAGCACCGUCGUGUAUAGUAUUUCCUCCAGAUGCAUCUCGAUUCAACUUUAAACCAGGUAUUAUCCAGCUUUUACCAACAUUUCAUGGUUUAGAAUCUGAGAAUCCAUACUUGCAUCUAAGAGAUUUUGAGGAAGUUUGUAAUACAUACACGGACCAAAAUUGUAGCAUGAACAUAAUUAGAUUAAAGCUUUUUCCUUUUUCAUUAAAAGAUAAAGCUAAAACUUGGCUACAAAACCUUAGAUCUGGAUCAGUAAGAACUUGGAAUAACAUGCAAGAACAGUUUUUGAAAAAAUUCUUUCCACCUCAUAGAACAAAUUCUUUUAAAAGGCAAAUCACUUCUUUCACUCAAAAAAAUGGAGAAACAUUAUACCAAUGUUGGGAUAGGUUUAAAGAGUUGCUUAACAUAUGCCCACAUCAUGGUUUUGAAACUUGGCGAUUGGUCACUUAUUUCUACGAGGGCUUAAUACCCCAAAGUAGACAGGUUGUUGAAAUGAUGUGUAAUGGUGAAUUUAGGGAUAAAAAUCCUGAAGAUGCACUAGAUUACCUUGACCAAUUAGCUGAAAAUGCACAACAUUGGGAUACUGUUGGAACUUUUGAAUUGACAAAUAAGCAACAAUCAUCUCCAUCUAGUGGAGGAAUCCAUAACCUUAGGGAAGAUCAUGAUUUACAAGCAAAAUUUGCAUCCCUAGUUAGGAAAGUUGAAGCUUUGGAGCAUAAAAAGAGUGAUCAAGUAAAAUCUGUUCAAGAAAUUGCAUGUAACAUAUGUAAUUUGAAUGAUCAUUUCACUCAAGAGUGUCCCACUUUGCCUGCACUUAAAGAAUGUCUAAAUGAUCAAGCUAAUGUCAUUAACACUUUCAAUAAACCAAACCCAUAUUCACAGACUUAUAAUCCUGGUUGGAGAAAUCAUCCGAAUUUCAGUUGGAGGAAUAAUAAUAAUGCACAAUCUUCACAAGCACCACCUCCACAAAAUUUUCAAAAUCCUCAGCCUUAUGCACCAUAUGUUCCACCACCUUGGAAAAAUCUGGAAGACACAAUGCAUUCAUUCAUCAGAAAGCAAGAUGUUAUUAACAAUCAAAAUGCACAAACUUUUUCUGAUUUGAAAGAUACUCUUGCUAAAAUCGCUUCUGCACUCACCAUUCAAGAAAAAGGAAAAUUUCCAGCCCAACCACAACCAAAUCCUAAAAUUCAACAAAAUCCACCCACAGACCAAGUCAAGUCAGUUAUAACUCUUCGUAGUGGUAAGGUUGUUGAUAGACCUAUGCCUGAACCUUAUGAAAAUGAUGAAAAUUCAAAGGGUAAGGAAGGACUAAAUGAACUUACACCUAGUGAAGAAAUAACUAGUGUUCCACCUGAACCACCAUUUCCGCAUGCAUUGAAUAAACCAAAGAAAUCAAACCACUCUUCUGAAAUUUAUGAAAUCUUUAAGCAAGUGAAAGUUAACAUUCCUCUAUUAGAUGCAAUCAAGCAGGUUCCUUCAUAUGCCAAAUUUUUAAAGGACUUGUGCACUGUUAAGAGGAAAUUGAAGGUAAGAAAGAGUGCUUUCAUGGCCGAACAGGUAAGUACAAUUCUGUCUACUAAUAAUAAGUUGAAAUAUAAAGAUCCUGGUUGUCCUACCAUUUCUUGUAUUAUUGGUAACCACAGAAUUGAGCAUGCUUUAUUAGAUCUUGGUGCUAGUGUUAAUUUGCUUCCAUAUUCAGUUUAUCUUCAACUUAAUCUUGGUGAGUUAAAAUCAACUUCAACUACACUUUUGCUUGCCGAUAGAUCAGUUAAAGUACCAAAAGGAAUAGUGGAAGAUGUUUUAGUACAAGUUGAUAAAUUUAUUUAUCCUGUGGAUUUUAUUGUCUUGGAAACUGAACCUAUUGUGAAUAAUUACAAACCAAUUCCUGUAAUUUUAGGUCGACCAUUUUUAGCAACUGCUAAUGCUUUGAUUAAUUGUAGGAAUGGUUUAAUGAAUUUAUCCUUUGGGAAUAUGACUUUGGAAUUGAAUGUUUUCAACAUGUGCAGGCAACCUAAUGAAGAAAAUGAGAAUGAAGAUGAUACCGAUGAACAAAAGGAAUUGUUUGAAUCUUGUAUCGAGGAAAAUAUUCAAAAAGGGGAUUUUUCUGAACUUUCUAAUGUUUGUUUAGUUAAUUCAAUUGAGUCAAAUAAGCAACUUGAACUGGAUAUUUCUAAUAUAAAUUCGUUGCUUGAUUCUAUGCAGACUUCACAAAAUUAUGAUGACGAGCAAAAAUUUAAGGAGCUUGGAAGUAUUGAAAAGACAGAACAACAAGAAGCACCUAAAAUGGAAUUGAAACCUUUGCCUGAAGGAUUGAAAUAUGCUUUUCUUGGAGAAGAACAAACUUAUCCUGUUGUGAUUUCUUCUACUUUAACAAGCGACCAAGAAGGUAAGUUACUAACUGUUCUUAAAAAGCAUAAAAAUGCAAUAGGGUGGACUUUAAAUGACAUUAAAGGCAUUAAUCCCUUAAUCUGCACACAUAGAAUUAAUUUGGAAGAAAAUGCUAAAAUAUGUCAGCAACCUCAAAGAAGAUUAAACCCACACAUGAAAGAGGUAGUCAAAACAGAAGUCCUUAAAUUACUUGAUGUAGGAAUUAUCUACCCUAUUUCUGAUAGUAAGUGGGUAAGUCCUACACAAGUAGUGCCUAAAAAAUCUGGAAUCACUGUUGUUAAAAAUGAAAAAGGUGAAUUAAUUCCAACACGAAUUACAUCUAGUUGGCGCAUGUGCAUUGAUUAUAGAAAAUUAAAUGAAGCCACUAGAAAAGAUCAUUUUCCAUUACCAUUCCUUGACCAAAUCUUAGAAAGAGUAGCAGGACAUCCCUACUACUGUUUUUUAGAUGGAUAUUCAGGUUAUUAUCAAAUUCCUAUAGCACUUGAGGACCAAGAAAAGACCACAUUCACAUGUCCUUUUGGAACAUUUGCAUUUAAAAGAAUGCCAUUCGGGCUUUGUAAUGCUCCUGCAACAUUUCAAAGAUGUAUGUUAAGCAUUUUUUGUGAUAUGGUUGAACAUUGUUUAGAGGUCUUUAUGGAUGAUUUGACUGUGUUUGGGAAUUCUUUUGAUGAUUGCCUUGAUAAUUUGGAGAAAGUUUUAAAAAGAUGUGUUGAAAAAGAACUCGUGUUGAAUUGGGAAAAAUGUCACUACAUGGUUACUUCUGGAAUUGUUUUGGGUCAUGUUGUUUCUAUUAAAGGAAUUGAAGUUGACAAAGCAAAAAUUGAAGUCAUAUCUAAAUUGCCACAACCAAAAACAGUUAGAGACGUGCGAUCCUUUUUAGGACAUGCAGGAUUUUAUAGGAGGUUUAUAAAAAACUUUAGUGCCAUAUCUAAACCACUUUGUAACCUCUUAUUAAAAGAUGCACCGUUUGAAUGGAAUGAUGAUUGCCAAAAAUCUUUUGAAAAAAUAAUUUGUCUUUUAACAUCUGCACCUAUUAUGCAAUCUCCUGAUUGGUCUUUGCCAUUUGAAUUAAUGUGUGAUGCAAGUGAUUUUGCUGUUGGUGCUGUUUUAGGACAAAGAAGGGAUGGUAAGCCUUUUGUGAUUUAUUAUGCGAGUAAGACUUUGGAUAGUGCUCAAAUGAAUUAUUCUACAACUGAAAAAGAAUUACUUGCUGUGGUAUUUGCAUUAAACAAAUUUCGUUCAUAUUUGCUUGGCUCUAAAUCUGUUGUGUUUACUGACCACGCUGCUGUGAGAUAUUUGAUGAGUAAACAGGAUGCCAAACCGAGACUAAUUCGUUGGAUUUUGUUACUACAAGAAUUUGACCUUACCAUCAAAGAUAAAAAGGGUGCUGAAAAUGUUGUUGCUGAUCAUCUAUCAAGACUCACAUCUGAAUUCUGCAAUGAUAUAACACCCAUAAAUGAUUCCUUCCCUGAUGAAUUUUUAUUUUCUGUUACUUCAAUGCCAUGGUAUGCUAACAUUGUUAAUUUCCUUGUUACAGGUAAAAUGCCUUUGCAAUGGAAUGCUCAAGAGAAAAAGAAAUUUUUUGUUGAAGUAAAGAAAUUUUAUUGGGAUGACCCUUAUUUGUUCAAAUAUUGCCCAGAUCAAAUUUUUCGGCGAUGUAUUCCUGAUAAUGAGGUAAGUAGUGUCAUUAAUUUUUGUCAUUCUGAAGCAUGUGGUGGUCAUUUUUCUUCAAGAAAAACUACUGCUAAAAUUUUACAGUGUGGAUUUUAUUGGCCUACCAUGUUUAAAGACACAUAUGAAUUCUGCAAAAGUUGUGAAAAAUGUCAAAAAUUGGGAUCAAUUACAAAAAGAAACAUGAUGCCCUUAAAUCCCAUACUUGAAAUUGAAAUAUUUGACUGUUGGGGAAUUGAUUUCAUGGGUCCAUUUCCAUCAUCUUUUGGAUUUGUGUAUAUAUUAGUUGCAGUUGAUUAUGUCUCAAAAUGGAUUGAAGCAAUUUCUUGUCGAAAUAAUGAUAGUAAAACUGUGAUUAAAUUUUUAAGAGAAAACAUUUUAAGUCGAUUUGGAAUCCCUCGAGCCAUUAUCAGUGAUGGAGGUAAGCAUUUUUGUAAUAAGUCAUUUGAGUUUUUAAUGAAGAAAUAUGGAAUUACACAUAAAAUUGCUACCCCUUAUCAUCCUCAAACAAAUGGUCAAGUUGAAUUAGCAAAUAGGGAGAUAAAACAAAUUUUGGAAAAAACGGUUAACCCAAACCGAAAAGAUUGGUCUCUUAGACUUAAUGAUGCACUUUGGGCUUACCGUACUGCAUUUAAAACAUCAUUAGGAAUGUCACCCUAUCGGUUAAUUUAUGGUAAACCUUGUCAUUUACCUGUUGAACUUGAACAUAAAUCACUUUGGGCUAUUAAAGCUUUUAAUUCAAAUUUGGAUGAUGCUGGUAAUGUGCGAAAAUUGCAAUUGGAUGAACUUGAGGAAUUAAGGAAUGAUGCAUAUGAAAAUUCAAGAAUUAUUAAGGCUAGAACAAAAGCAUUUCAUGAUAAAAGAAUUUUUCGAAAAACAUUUGAGAUUGGUCAAAAAGUGUUGCUUUAUAAUUCUCGUCUUCAUUUAUUUCCAGGGAAGUUAAAGUCAAAAUGGAGUGGCCCAUUUGUUGUAAAAAAUGUAUUUUCAUAUGGGGCCAUAGAAAUUGAGAAUCCAAAUAACGGUGUCACAUUUAAAGUUAAUGGUCAAAGAUUAAAACCAUAUUUGGAACAUCACCCACGUGACGAGGACACCGAAAUUAAUUUGGAUGACCCACCAGUUCUUGAUUAAGUCUUUAAUGAUUUUUUUUGUUUUACUAUUAUUUUACCGUUUCAUUGUUUGAUUUUUUUCUUUAGAUUGAUGCACUGUAAAUAGUUUUUUUUAACAUUGUUUUUCUUGUGUAAGCGUGUUUGUUUGACAGUUGUACAUUCUCUCAUCAAUUUUCAUUUUACAUCAUGAGCACCUCAAUGAGAAAAUACCUGUUCGCACAUCUUAAAAGAUUUCGGCGUAUAAAAUUUCACUUAAGAGGCCUGAUACAAAGCUGUAAAUCACAUCCACUUUGGGAUCUGCAACCACCAGAAUUCGUGUCCUAUGUUGAGGAUCUAGAGGGACAACUCAGAACAGUAGAGAGUGGCAUAUAUGAAUUUCAAAUGGAGCUUGAGGUUAACUCAAUGAGAGGACGAAUGUAAGUUCAUUUUCCUUUUAUAUUGUGUGUUUUUUCUUUUUGCUCGCUUUCACGCUUGAUUUGAUUUUGCAGAUUUGAUUUUGGUAAGUUUUGAUUUAUUUUCCCGUAUAAAUGGCGGAUAACGGUACUCCGUGACUUUUUAAGUCGGUAUCUUCAGUUUCCCACAAUAACUGAAACCCCAAAAUCAAACAUGGAAGAAAUACAACAUAAACUGCAUAAGCACUUUCCUUCUCUCCCUCAGAAUGCCCUCAGGAAAAUUUACAAAGCUCGUUGUGAACGACUGCGUUUGUUAAUGAUCAAUGGCAUUCCUUCUGACAUUCGUUGGUUAAUUGAAGCAAAAGUCCGAUUAGUAGGUGAGUUUUCUGAUCCAUUUGUUUCUUACAUGCCUGGUUUUGGUAAAAGUACGUUUGCUAAGAAAAGGAGAGCUAAACGACUUGGCUCAAAAUGUCAUAACUGUGUAAGACUUGGUUGCAAACGACCGGAUUGUCAAUCUUUAGGAAUGGUUUCUGAUACUCGUGAAGAUAAAAUUAAAUUCGUUAAAGAUGGCAUGAGUAAAGAAUCGUUGGAUGAUAUCUUACGAUCUCUUGAGACGCAUCGAAGUGGAAUUGUGCAACGUGAGAUUUACAAUUUGUGGAUACUAUUCCAAAAACAAAGUGCACAGUUAAGUCUUGGGAAUCUGACUAAAAAAGACCUUGUUUGCCAGUUUAUAAGAAAACUGGAUGGGAAGCCGAUCCUCGACCCAUAGAGGGCGUUCAAGCCGUUACUGGACGUAAAACCAGAGGAAGAUGUGAGCCACAAUCACAACUACCAGUAAAUAUCCUUUCACUUCACUGUUAUUUUACUUUACUGUUAUUUGCAUUUAGCGGUGUGAUUUUUGUAUUUAAUAAAUAUUUGUUUUCUUUUACUGUUUGCUUUUUUUAAUCAUUAUUAUUUUUUUUUUUUUUUUUACUGUUUGUUUUUGAAUUAUUGAGCCACGAGCUUUCCUCGUCAUUUGACAAAUAUGCCAACCCAUUUACAGCUGUUUCUCAUUAUUUAUGUCACCAAGAUCUUUAAAUAUGAGCUCGUUUUUCAAACACUCACAACUUGUUUUUGAAAAAUUAGUCCAAUGGCAGCAUCUUCGAGUAAACAAUUCAAAAAUAUUUGUGUGCUUUCUGGGUUUCACUAUGGAAAGUACAAAGAGUUCGUUCAGGCAGCUGUAGAUCUUGGUCGUGUCAUAGCAGAGAGGAAACUGCAUCUUGUAUAUGGAGGAGGUGAACGAGGGUUAUCAAGACUUGUCUCAGAAGCUGUUUUUACCAGAGGAAGUCAAGUACUCGGCAUUAUCCCAAAACCCAUGAAACCGCUAGUGUGCUUGUCUGGCCCACCAAUUGGAGAAGAAUUAGUGGUAUCAAGUAUGCAAGAGAGACUAUCUGAAAUGAUGAAUCAUGCUGAUGCUUUUAUUUUUUUGCCAGGAGAUCUUGCAACUUUUGAGGCACUAAUUACAUUUGCAUCUUGGGCCCACUUGAACAUUCAUCAAAAACCCAUCGGUUUGUUAAAUGUUAAUAAUUUUUAUGACGGCUUGCUAACUUUUAUUAACCAUGCAAUAAAGAAUCAUUUUGUUCCACAUUCUGUAAAAAAACUCUUUAUCUCUGCUUCUACUGCUAAUGAGUUACUUGAUCUUUUACAAGCUUAUACACCAGAGCCAGAUCCACAGACUGUUGCACUGAAUUGGUCGACUAAUGAUGGUAACGGUAACAGUAGCAGUAAUAAGAAGUGCGAUUUAGAUUUAACUCUCCGUUUGUAAAUAUUUUCUGUUGUAAUGUUCAUGUGAUGUCUUCUACACUCUUUCUCUUUCCUUUUAAAACAUUGAGGACAAUGUCUUUUUCAGGUUGGGGGGAGGGAAUAGUUGAUAAUUGUGGAAUGUCUUAGUCCUGGUUAUGUGUUUACAAAAAAAAAAAAAAAAAAAAAAAACAAUAACAAAAUUUUUUUUUUCUGUAAAGACUAACUUAGGACAAAUUUGAGUCGAAGAUGGCAGGAUAUAGAGAAUGUAGUCUCUCUAGAAACGCAUCUUCUUAAUCUUAAGGGUGUUGUUAAAAAAAAAAAAAAAAAAAAAAAAUUUCUUUUUCUUCAUCUUUGUUAUCUACUUCUAAGCUUCUGCAUCAAGUUCAGGUGAGAUCUCCUCUUCUUCUUCUUUUAUUUUUUCUUUUUCUUUUUGCAUAUCUGUAAAUUAUAAAAUGUUAGGAUAAUGUUUAGAUUAGGUUGUGGGGUGGGGAUAAUUGACGUAUGUUUUAAAUAUGUAUGUUGUUUUUUUCCCUUUUCUCUUUUCUUUUCUUUGCAAAAAAAAAAAAAAAAAAAAAAAAAAAUUGUUUUUUGUCUAGGAUGGUCGUGUAAAGAGUCACGACUUUUGAGACGCAUCCUAAUAGUCUUGUUGUAUUAUAUUUUGAUUUUGAGAUUUAUAGUAAGUUGUUUUUGUUCCCUUUUCUUUGAAUUACUCAAAUAUGUGAACUCUCCACUUGGUUAUUAAGUUAUUUAAUUGUUUACUCAUUUAACAGGUAUUGUUGAAUCAUUCUUCACACACACAUUAUGACACAUACUAGUGGGUUGUAAGUUAAAAUUUUACAGCAUUUAGUUCUUUUGAUUUAUUAGGAAAAGUAUCUAAGGUAGUAGAAAGUGUAUAUUUCCAAAAAAAAAAAAGAAAAAAAAAAAGAAAAAAAAAAAAGAAAAAAAAAUUUUGUUAUAUCUAGAAACCCGAGUAAUUAAGUCCGUAGGGGUGUUUCAACACCUAGUGCCCUAAGGUCAACUGGUCUGGGAGUCACUGGCCUAAAGCUCGCUACAUGGGUAAUAGAUAUAUUGUUUGUUUAUUAGAAACCCGAGUAAUUAAGUCCGUAGGGGUGUUUCAACACCUAGUGCCCUAAGGCCAACUGGUCUGGGAGUCACUGGCCUAAAGCUCGCUACACGGGUUAGAAAUGUAAUAUAUAUAAAAAAAAAAAAAUGUGUGAAUAAUCUGUGCCUAAAGAUAUAAUUUCUAAUGAAUUUUAGAACGAAAAUGUUGUUUUUCUUUUAAUGAAGCCCCAUAAGUAUUGUGUUAAUUACUUGAGCACAAAAGAAUGUUUGAUGAUAUUCUGAAUAAUGAGUGAACAUCAAUGUGGUAAAGGAAUUUGGGAGAGUUCAUUUAUUUGGUAAUUUAGAGGAUAGAUGAACAAUUAUUAACUUGCAUGUGAAUUUUAUAAAUCUUAAUAUAACGCUUUAAUUGCUAGAGGGCUAGCAAUAAGCUGGUUGGGGGGUGUGAUUAGUAUUAAAAAUUGUUUAAUUAUCAAGCGAUAAUAUGUUAUUUUAUGCUUAUGUUAUAAUUUAUAUUUGUGUUUAUGUAAUAUAUUAUGAAUUAUUAAUUAUGUUUUAAAUAUAUUUAAUUUUGUGUAUUUUUAUGUGUUUAUUAGGAAAAUUAUUAAUUUCACGUACUUCGAGGCUCCAAACAGAUAAACGGAGGUCAAAUUUGGAUUCCGGAGGUCCGAAAACCUUAAGAUCAGUCAAGAUCGGCUUAAAAUUGGGCUUGUGUAAAAAAAGUUGACUUUUCCUGUUGACCGAGCACUGAUUGGAUGAUGAAAUGAGCUUACAAUAGAUAUGAGUGCAUGGGAUAACUGGCAAUCUUGACCAAAUCUCAACCGUUCAUGAUUCAAUGGCCAUGAUUGUGCCACGUGGCAAUGGUUGGUGAAGCAAGUUGGAGGAUCCGAAUCUUUGUAUUCGGGUCGACCCGAUCCACCCAUUAACCCGCCAAAUCUCAACCGUUCUUUGGGUAAAUCGGACGAGUCAAAUGAUGCCAUGUGUGAUGUUGACUUUUGAAGUUUGACCAGCCAUUGGAUCUUGAUCUAAGGGUUGUGAGGAGCACAUGCAUGAAGCCUAUGAUGGACCGCAAAGCACGGGAUUAUGAAUUUAUUUUUUCUAUAAAUAGGGCCUCAUUUUUAUGUUUUAAUCAUCUCUCUACAACUCUCUUCUUCUCAAAUUCUCUCCAUCUCCUUGUAAUCUUGAUUUCCAGGUGUGUUUUUAAUAUUUUGUAUAAUUAUUUUCAUUAAUAAAAUUAGUUUUAUUUCCAAUUUUAGUUGUUUUUAUUUCUUUUAAUUAUAAGUAAUUCAAUUUUACUACUUUUUUUUAUUUUAAUUAUGCUUAACUAAAUAAUAUUAGUUAGGGGAAGGUGAAACUCUUAAGAAAUAAAUAUGAUUUAAUCAAAUUCUAUGUUUAAUUUUAUAAAUUAAAUUAUUUUCUAUUUAAUUUUAUACAUGUUUUAUAUUUUGAAAAUUUGAUUUAUUGUAGACAAAUAAAUGAAUUUGGCACAAUAAAUUCUUAAGAUCUUAAUAUAAGGCAUGGUGAAAUGGUAUUUUGACUUAUUGUAGACAAAUUAAAUUUUGGCACAAUAAAUACUUAAUCCAUCAUAAAAUUAAAGGGAAAAUAAUAAUAAUUUGUAUAAUUAAUCUUUUGAGUAAUAAAUCUAAAACAAAUUGGCAAAAAGAAUUUAUUAAGUUUUAUUUGUUUCUAAGAGUGGAUCCAUAACCCUAACUAGUUCAAUUCCAUAGUUUCAUUUAAAUUAAGUUGUUUAUAUUCAAGUUUUAAUUUCAAUUUUUAGAUCAAAUAAAAUAAAUUAAUUAAAUCUUUUCUCUGUGGAUCGACCUCGGACUCACCGAGUUAUAAUACAACAAGACACUCUUAUACUUGGGAGUUAAAAUUUACUUUUAAGUUGUGUCAAUAUUCUUUGUACUUUUUUUCUCUUUCUAUUUAAAUUCAACAAUAUGUAAUCAUUAAUAAUAAUUAAUUAUAAGUCUUUUGAAAUAUUUAUUUAUUUUAUUAUGCUAGCAAUUAAACUUUAGUGGCUUAAAAUACAUGAAUUAAUUAACAUAGGAAGAUAUGUUCUUUCAUUUAUAAAGCUAUGACUUGAGGAGGUGAUGUGGCAUCACCAUUUUGCUUCUUUAUAUAUUCUCUAUUAUCUAAUAAAUAGAGAUUUUUUUUUAGAUUUGGCUUUACAUCUUAUCAUAAUUAAUUUGAUUGUAUUUAACUCAUUUAAUAAAUAAUAACUUUAUUAAUAUAUAUCAUUCCUCAUCUUUUUAUAUUUUAUAUUAUCUAAAAUAUCUAAAAUAUUGGUGGAUAUUCUUUGUAUUUUUUUUUCUCUUUCUAUUUAAAUUCAACAAUAUGUAAUCAUUAAUAAUAAUUAAUUAUAAGUCUUUUGAAACAUUUAUUUAUUUUAUUAUGCUAGCAAUUAAACUUUAGUGGCUUAAAAUACAUGAAUUAAUUAACAUAGGAAAAUAGGUUCUUUCAUUUUCCCUCAGCAAUGCCACUAAGGCCUAAUUUUAAUGUCAUAAUCACGUAUUUAAUUAUGCAACCUUUUGUUGAGUGUCUUUUGGUUUCUUCAAAAUUUAUUAUGCUAUCAAUUAAACUUUAGUGCCUUAAAAUACAUCACCUAAUUAACAUAGGAAGAGAGGUUCUUUCAUCUUCCCUCAACCUCAUAUUUUUAUAUUCUCUAUUAUCUAAAAUAUCUAAAAUAUUAGUGGAUAUUCUUUUUACAUAUUUCUUCCUCUUUCUAUUUAAAUCCAACAAUAUAUAACCAUUAAUAAUAAUUAAUUAUAAGUCUUUUGAAACAUUCAUUUAUUUUAUUAUGCUAGCAAUUAAACUUUAGUGGUUUAAAAUACAUGAAUUAAUUAACAUAGGAAGAGAGGUUCUUUCAUCUUCCCUCAACAAUGUCACUAGGGCCUAAUUUUAAUACCAUAAUCUCAUAUUUAAUUAUGCAACCUUUUGUUGAGUGCCUUUUGGCUUCUUCAAAUUUUAUUAUGCUAGCAAUUAAACUUUAGUUCCUUAAAAUACAUCAACUAAUCUAUAUAUCUAUAUAUCUAUAUAUAUAUAUAUAUAUAUAUAAAGUUGGGACUACAAGUGGUGAUGUGGCAUCACCAUUUCUCAUCAUUUCAUAUUCUCUGUUAUCUAAUAAAUUUGUUGAAAUUAAAAAAUAAUUACAUUAUAAAAUAUUAAAAUAGAAAAUAAUUAUUAGAUUAUAAAUGAUUACAUGUCUUUUCCUCUUUUUAUUUAAAUUCAAUAAUAUGUAACCAUUAAUAAUAAUUAAUUAUAAGUCUUGAAACAUUCAUUUAUUUUAUUAUGCCAACAAUUAAAUUUUAGUGGCUUAAAAUACAUCAAAUAAUUAAUAUAGGAAGGAAUGUUCCUUCAUCUUCUCUCAACAAUACCAUUAGAGCCUAAUUUUAAUGUCAUAAUCCCAUAUUUAAUUAUUCAAUCUUUUGUUUAGUGCCUUUUGACUUCUUCAAACUCCAUAAACAUUAAAUAUUUAAGAUUUGUGUCAUCAUUAUUUCUCAUCUUUUUUUAUUCUCUAUUAUCUAAUAUAUUGGUUGAGAUUAAAAAAUAAUUACAUUACAAAAUAUUAAAAAUCUAUAUAUAUAUAUAUAUAUAUAUAUAAAGUUGGGACUAGAGAAGGUGAUGUGGCAUCACUAUUUCUCAUCUUCUUGUAUUAUCUAUUAUCUAAUAAAUUGGUUGAUAUUAAAAAAAUAAUUACAUUACAAAAUAUUAAAAAUAAAAAAUAAUUAUUAGAUUAUAAAAGAUUACAUGUCUCUUCCUCUUUCUAUUUAAAUUCAAUAAUAUGUAACCAUUAAUAAUAAUUAAUUAUAAAUCUUGAAAUAUUUAUUUAUUUUAUUAUGCCAAUAAUUAAACUUUAGUGGCUUAAAUAUAUCAAUUAAUUAAUAUAGGAAUGAAUGUUCCUUCAUCUUCCCUCAACAAUGUCAUUAGGGUCUAAUUUUAAUGCUAUAAUCUCAUAUUUAAUUAUGCAACCUUUUGUUUUGUGCCUUUUGGCUUCUUCAAACUCCAUAAAUAUUAAGUAGUUAAGAUUUGUGGCAUUAUUAUUUCUCAUCUUUUUGUAUUUUCUAUUAUCUAAUCUAUUGGUUGAGAUUAAAAAAUAAUUACAUUACAAAAUAUUAAAAAUAGAAAAUAAUUAAUAGAUUACAAAAAAUUACAUGUCUCUUCCUCUUUCUAUUUAAAUUCAACAAUAUGUAACCAUUAAUAAUAAAUUAAUUAUAAGUUUUGAAACAUUCAUUUAUUUUAUUAAGCCAAUAACUAAACUUUAGUGGUUUAAAAUACAUCAACUAAUUAAUAUAGGAAGGAAGGUUCCUUCAUCUUUCCUCACCAAUACCACUAUGACCUAAUUUUAAUGUCAUAAUCCCAUAUUUAAUUAUGCAACCUUUUAUUUAGUGUCUUUUGACUUCUUCAAACUCUAUAAAUAUUAAGCAUUUAAGAUUUGUUAUGUUUGGGUUUUUUUUUUUUAUUUAACCAACAUCCUCUUUAUAAAUGUUCUUGUGUUUUUAUUUUUUUGACUUAUUUAAAUUUUUAGUAUUGUGUGCUUCAUGGAGUACUCUUUUCUUCAUGAGUUAAACAAUGAUAAAGAUAGUUGGAUGAUAAGGGUUAGACUUUAUAAGAUAUGGGAGUCUGUUAAUACCAAGAAAAAUAAAGAGUUGAUUAGUGUGAACAUAAUUUUUAUUGAUAAAAAGGUUGUAUACACUUAACUAUACACAUUAAUAUAUAUUUUUAAUGUUAACAAAAAAAAAUUAACUUUCAUAAAUAACAUUAGUUUUAUAAGGCUACGUCAUCUUUAAAAAAAAAAAAUUUAUAUUUUUUAUCAGUUUCAUCAAGUGCAAAAUAAUAAAAAAAGAUAAUACUAAUUUUUUUUUAAAGCUGCACGAAGUGCGGAUCCAUUUCCUAGUGACCAUAUAUACAUAGGCCGGCCCGGGCCCUUGGACAUGACACCAUAACCCUCCAAUAAUUUCAAUUUUUAUUAUUGUUCCCAAAACACCCUUCCAAACUUUUCCAGCGUUAAUAGUCAUGAAGAUAAUUUAUUAAUUUAAUCAAACAGUAAAGAUAAUUAUGUCAUUGUAUAUUUGUGGGUCAAGUCAAGCGAGGCAUUUUCUUCCAUCCUGAUCAUCUGCCAUGCAAACAUCUGGGUAAACUUUCUUCCAUCUUAUAACAUCAGGGCUUCUUCUUUGGAUUCUUAUGGUCAUUCAUUCAUUUCUCUAAUCUCUUUUUCCUCUUACAUGUUUUUUUUUUAGAUUUUUUUUAUCAUAUGAUGUGGCAGAAAUUAUCAUGUUUAUAAAUCUUUAUCCUAAAUUUGAUAUGUUAAGUUGUCACUUAACCGUAAACAAAUGAUUAAUUUUACAUGAAAAUAGUAAAAUGACCAGAAAAAUCAGGAGAAUGUAUUAUUAAUGCCUUUCAUAUGAUGAGAGGCCAAAAUCACCCUGUUUACAAAUCUUUAUCUUCAAUUUGAAUUGUUUGACUUAAAAACUAGAACUAUCAAAUACGAGUCAGCAUUAGAACAAAAGUUAAAUAUAGCAUUGUUGAUGCUGAAAUCUGCUCGUCCUUUGCCCGACCAGAUCUUUACACCAACGCUUCUGUAAUCGGUAGUGAGGAUGUCAACUUCUUUUCGCCCCAACUACCGCUCUAGUCACUGAGAUUGGAAUAGGCCUUCCUUCUCCCACUAAGCCUGCGUUCACAAAAGUGGAUCAGAGACGCCGGUGGUUUUACCGGCGUAAACCCUCCGAUGCCUAAGUUAGCACAAGGUGUUUAUGGGAAAACGGUGCAAUUUGGAUUCGAUAAAUUGCUUAUAAUUGGCUCACAGUUUGUACUAAAAAUAGUCUGGUUUCAAUUUGGCAGAGUUUUCCCUUCUUCCCUUUUUUUUCUGUCCUUUUCUUCAUUAGUUUCCUUAUCUUUUAUAGCCAUUGUCCCACGUUUCUGUUUACCCUUCAUCCCCCCUCUAUCUUGGAUCGUGGCAGCCCCCAUGGGAUUCCAACUGCUAUAUUGUGGGUAAAUGUGGGACACCGUAUCUCCCUCGGCGGUUCUGGGCAUAGCGCAACUGUCGUGAUAUCGUGAGAUCGUGUUCCCGCUUUUUGGGGAAUGAGUAUCUGCUCGGUAUUUGUCUCUGGUCGGUCCUUGCUCGUAAAAGACUUAUUAUCAGUGUUCUGCUCAUACCAUUUGGCUGAGGUGAUCCAUGCCGGGGUGGAAAUGAUGGCAUGGCUGAGCUGGUGCUCUUAUUUACUUAACACCAGUCCCCUAGUUUCUGGUCUUGCGAGUGAAACGAGUUAAGAGUAGAAACUGAUAGUCAAAUCUUACCGAUUUGAGGAACUACCCAUCUGGUCCUCGCGUUAUUGUGGUGGCUCUGAGGUUCCAUCUCUUGUUUGAGGAGAUUUUUUAUCCGAGUAUGGGCCUUUAUGAAUAUAUCUUGUAUAUAUUUGGGCUUAUGUCUCGUCAGGCCUUUCAUAACGGUUAAUGACGUGGUGCUUCCCGACUCUUCGUAUUUGAAAUUUGAAACGACGGGCUAUCUAUCCUCGAUAUACGGUGAGUGAGCUGGCAUCCCCAUCACUUAAACGCUUCCAUUUCCCCCUUUUCGUUUCAAAUCCCUAGAUUGAAAUCAUCAUCGCUUUGUUAUUCGUCUCUCCGCCGUUAGCCAACUCCUUAUUUGAACUUUGCUCACACCUCCCGCGUCCGGAGUAUCCAUGUGCUGGGUGUUUCCUUUGUCACGGCAGCGCUAUCAGUGCCAGUUUAUUCCAGGUAUAGCCUUUAACCUUUUCUUUGGUUGUUGUUGAUUGGGUUCUGUGUUGCCCCUUUUUGUAUUCGUGUACUCGGGUUUGCUUGGGUGUCCUUUUGAGACUUCGAUAUGUCAAAUCGGAGGAGGAAGUUAAUUGCAGAUGACAGUGACGAAGAAAUAGAGGAUACACACCUUAGUACCCACGUCCCCUGACCAUUUCACCCUCCCCUGAAUUAGAACUUGUAGGAAAUAGAGGUGGACCUGCGUCAGGCUCCAGUGAGAACCACAGUUCUGGUGGGGUUGGAGUCCCUGAAGAAGUGGGUGAUGGUGAGGGAAGCAGUUCCGAGCCGAGCAGACCCCCUAAGAAAAUGAACCUUGGCCAUAAGGUGGAGGCGGAUUCUUACCCUAUUGACUACAUAGCUUGUGCCACUACCCAAACAGAUCUAUUCAAGCUUAGGAACCUCUACAACAUUCCUGAGGAGGUUCUCCUGGUAGUUCCUGGGAAAAGUGACGUUCCUAGUCGGCCUCCGCGGGGGUAUGUGACGAUGCACCUGGAGAGUUUCAAAUUAGGAGCUCGACUGCCCCUUCAGCGUUAUUUUGCUAAGAUACUGGGUGGUAUGCACCUGGCCCCAGGUCAGCUACAUCCCAAUGGGUGGAGGGUUCUCUCAGCUAUGUAUGUGUUAUGGAAGAGGUGUGGAUCAGAGGAGCCCUCUCUUGUUGAAGUAAAGCAUUUAUAUCAGCUGAUGAGUAGCCCGAAUGAGGCAGGCUAGUACUACUUUAUGUCGAGCUCUGCGAAGAGGAAGCCAAUCACCGGCUUCCCCUCCUCGUGUAAAAACUGGAAGAAUAAAUUCUUCUUUGCUGGAGGGAAAUGAUGUACAGCAGGCCGUUCGCUGGGUGGUGAUAUUUACCUUCCAACGCAUUUUGUCACCCCAGGUCGUUCAUUUUUUGCCUAUAUUCUUUCUCAAAUUGCCACUUAUUGGGUUCUUUAACCUUGUUUGUUUUUUCAGAAUCGUGGGGUUUGGUUAAGGAUCUUGAAGACCGACUUUUGCUCCAAGUUGAAACUGCUCUGGUGAACGCGUCUACCUGCCAAGACCUCCUGUCACCAACAAACUUGGUCGGUUCGGGCUUAGUGGACAUUGCUGCCGGAAUGGAUAACAAGAUCCUCAACGCGAUGACCAGAAAGUGUGGUCGGGCUCCAAGCAGCUCCAGCAACCUUCCUCCUCCUCCAAAGAAAGCCAAUGUUGGUCAACCCAAGGCUUCUGUUCCUGCUCUGCCCCCUCCUCCACCUCGGAAAAAUGGUGGGGAGAAGGUGAGUAAUAGGAGUCCCGAGGUCAGCAUCCAGUCUGGGGACCGAUCUUCUCCUCUUCCAUCUUGGGAUCAAGGUGACUACCUGAGCCUGUAUCAGAAGGAUUACGGAAAAUCGGUGGGGCCCAAGAUGGUGAAGGACAUCGAGAGUAUGAACCUCUCCGAGCUAGCUUGUUCUGUUCAAAGAGUCUCCUUCAAGCUGGCCACCUUGGUUUCGUGUUACAAGAACAGGUCCACGCGCCAUGAGAGGAGGCUUCAAGCUGACAAUCAGGAUUUGAAGAAGAAAGUUGAAUCUGCUGAUCGCUCAAAGGAGAAGCUGGCUGAGCUGAACAAGCAGAUCACGGACCUCGAGGAGAAAGUUGCUGUUGCUGAGUCCACCACCUCCAAACUUGAGGGUGAGUUGGGUGACCUGAAGUUUGAUCUUCAGGCUACUCAAAGUGAAAGAGAUACUUUGAGGACCGCCCUUGAGGGAGAAAUCAAAUCUCUGAGCACGCAGUUGGCUGAGGCGAGAGGCAAAUCUGUUGAUGUGGAUGAUCGGCUAGAUGCAGAGUAUGACUCUGGGGUUGCUUUUUGCUUUAAGUACAUCAUGUCUGUGCUUAAGGAAUAAUAUCCCAAGCUGGACAUAAGCAAGCUGGAGGCUGGAGUGCAGAGAUAUAUGGCUGAGGCCAACCAGGGGGAUAAGGAGCAGGGUGACCAGGAUUAGGUGGAGGCUCCUUUAGAUGGGGUGCAGGAGGGGGAAGCUGGGGGUCGUGCUCUUAAAGUGGGUCAAGGGUCCAUGACUCCUCCUCCCGGUAUUGCUAAUCUUCCACCUCCCGAGAUUGCCGAUCCUUCAACUGCUGAAGCUGUCGACCCUCCUAAUUUUUAGGUUUAUUUUUUGUAUAAACUCUAAAUUUUCAUCUGUUUUGUAAACAUUUUGAGCAUAAAUUUUAGAUGCUUUCUAUUGGCUCUUCUGUUGUGGUUUUGCUUAUAGAUCGUUUCUGUAAAUUGCCUUAAUGCUUUUAGUUGGCUUUGCCUGCUAGUCCUUUAAUCGACUGAGUAGGAAUAGCAUUUGUUUGUCAUAACCAAAUUUGUAGAUUUGCCUACUGGUCCUUUAGACGACCGAGCAGGAGUAGGCACUCGCUUGCCUUAGUAGAAUUUCAUAAAAUUGCCUGCUGGUCUUUCGUUGACCGAGCAGGAGUAGGCACUCGCUUGCCUUAGUAGAAUGUCGUAAAAUUGCCUGCUAGUUUUUCGUUGACCGAGCAGGAACAAGCACUUACUUGCCUUAGUAAAAUUUCAUGAAAUUGCCUGCUGGUCUUUCGUUGACCGAGCAGGAACAUGUACUUAUUUGCCUUAGUAAAAUUUUGUGAAAUUGCCUGCUGGUCUUUCGUUGACCGAGCAGGAACAAGCACUUACUUGCCUUAGUAAAAUUUCGUGAAAUUGACUGCUGGUCUUUCGUUGACCGAGCAGGAACAUGCACUUACUUGCCUUAGUAAAAUUUCGUGGGCUUGCUAGCAGAGGGAUUCAUGCUGAAUUCAUCUUUAUUGAAAUUUGAAUGCAUUAUAGAAAUGCGGAAUAUAUGCAUGUGUAACAAGUCAUCAUGCAUUUAAUAGAAAUAACUUGUCAAAAUGAAGACUUAGUAGAGCACUUUGCUUACUGGAAAUACUUCUUCAAGUGCUCGGCGUUCUACGACCUCUUCACAUCUCGUCCGUCUAGGUACGCUAACUUGUAAGCUCCUGGUCCAGUCGCUCGUAUCACCCUGUACGGGCCUUCCCAUUUCAGGCCGAGUGUGCCAUGGUUAGGAUCCCUAGUGUUUUGAUUCACCUUCCUAAGCACCCAAUCCCCUGCUCGGAACUGCCUCACGCGUACGUUCUUGUUGUAAUAACGCAUGACCAUUUGCUGACACUGGGCCACCUUCUGCGAGGCCCCUUCACUUUUCUCCUCCAGCAGGUCCAGGUUCAAGCAGAUCUGCUCAUCGUUUUGCUCCUCAUUGAAGUAUUCCGUCCGAUGUGUUCAUACUCCAAUUUCUGCUGGGACUACCGCCUCAUGACCAAAAGCUAAAGCAAACGGGGUUUCCUCGGUGGCGGUUUUGUGAGUUAUCCGGUAAGCCCAUAGUACUCCUGGUAGCUCGUCGACCCAAGCUCCCUUAUUCUCUCCCAGUCUUGUUUUCAGGAGUUUCUUUAUUACUUUGUUGGCUGCUUCCACCUGUCCGUUUGCCUGGGGGUGUGCGGGGGUGCAGAACUUCAGGUCCACCCCCAGGUUCCGGCAAAAUUCUCUGAAGUUGUUGUUGUCAAAUUGCCUCCCAUUGUCUGUAAUGAUGGCAUAUGGGAUCCCGUAUCUGCAGAUGAUAUUUUUCCAAAUAAAAUCCGUCGUCUUUCUCUCCUUGAUUUGGCUGAGGACUCCCACUUCUACCCACUUGGUGAAGUAGUCUAUCGCCACAAUUGCAUGUGUUGCCGCUCCUCGACCCUUAGGUAAUAGACCAAUCAGGUCGAUUCCCCAUUGGGCAAAAGACCAUGGGGAUGUCAUAGUGGUCAGCUUUUCUGGGGGUUGUGCAGGAAUCUCUGAGAAGCUUUGGCAGGUUUUACAGUUCUUUGCCAUCCUUUUCGCAUCCUGGUGCAUGGUUGGCCAGAAAUAUCCUUGCCGGAAUGCCUUGAAGGCUAAAGUUCUAGCUCCCGAGUGAUUGCCACAUAUUCCUUCAUGAAUCUCCCUCAGUACAUAAUCUGCCUCCUCGACAUCCAAACAUCUUAAAAGGGGCAAGGUGAAUCCUCGGCGGUAGAGUACCCCAUCGAGUAGCGUGUACCUGGCGGCUCGGCAUUUUAAUUUUCUUGCUUGCCUCUUGUCCUCCGGCAAAAUGCCAUCGCGGAUGUAUGAGAGAAUCGGGCCCAUCCAGGAUUCUUCGGUACUUACUCUCAUUACCUCUAUUUCCUCCCCUAUACUUGGCGAGGUUCUCACCUCUAGUGGAACCGACUUAGGUAAUUUUGGAUCCGCAAUUGCAGCCAUUCUAGCCAAUAUAUCUGCUCGGUAAUUCUCAUUCCGGGAUAUCUGCUUUACCUCUACCUUUUUUAAAAGCCCAACCAUUUGCUUCGCCUUUUUCAAAUAAAGACCCAACCUCUCUUCCCUUACUUGAAAUUGAUCGUUGAGCUGAUUACAUACUAGCUGGGAAUCUGCUCAGAUUUCUACUCUUUCUGCUCGUAGUGCAUGUGCAAGCCCGAGCCCAGUAAUGAAGGCUUCAUAUUCAGCUUGGUUGUUAGUAAGCUGGAACUCGAAUUUUACUGCAUAGGAUACCUCGAUCCCUUCUAGGCUUCUUAUUAUAACUCAUGCUCCGGAUCCUUGUUCACUACGUGACCCAUCAACCAUUACCAGCCACACCCCCUUUGGAUUCUCCUGUUCUACUGGUUGCUCCUCCUGGACCUCUUCCCCUGGUUGAACACAGUCAACCAUAAAAUCAGCCAGGGCUUGGGCCUUGAUUGCUCCUCGGGGCCUAUAGGAUAUGUCGAAUUCGCUCAGCUCCACGGACCACUUUACUAACCGCCCUGAUGCAUCUGGUUUUUGGAGCAUUUGCCAAAGAGGCUGAUCAGUCAUCACAACUAUUGGGUGGGCCUGGAAAUAUGGUCGGAGUUUUCGUGCUGCCGUUAUUAAAGCCAAUGCCAAUUUCUCCAUCAAUGGAUACCUGGUUUCUGCGUCUACCAGGGCUUUGCUAGUGUAGUAUACGGGGUGUUGUUUUCCUUCUUCUUCUCUGACUAAUAUCGAGCUGGUAGCCCAUUUUGAGAUUGUCAAGUACAAAAACAGCUGGUCACAUUCUCUCGGAGUUGAUAGUAACGGGGCGUGGGCCAGAUAUUCCUUCAGCUGUCCGAACGCCUCCUCACAUUCUGAUGUCCACUCCAUCUUUCUCCAUUUCUUUAUGGUUUGGAAGAAAGGGUGGCAUUUAUCUGUAGUCCGCGAGAUGAAUCGGUUUAAUGCUCCCAAUUUCCCUGUAAGGCUCUGCACCUCCUUAACUGUUCGUGGGGACCUCAUUUCUGUUACCGCCCGUAUCUUUUCCGGGUUGGCCUCAAUCCCUCGGUGGCUCACCAAGAAUCCCAAAAAUUUGCCCGAGCUGACCCAAAAUGCACACUUCUCCGGGUUUAGCUUCAUUUCAUACCUUCUCAUCAAUUCAAAGGUUUCUUCCAAGUGUUUCACAUGAUCCCUCGGUUCUUUAGACUUUGUGAUCAUAUCGUCCACAUAUACCUCUAUAGUAUGACCGAUUACUGGCUUGAAGAUCUUAUUCACCAACCUUUGAUAGGUAGCUCCUGCAUUUUUCAGGCUAAAAGGCAUUACCCUGUAGCAAAACAAACCCAUGUUAGUUAUAAAGGUGGUGUUUUCCUCAUCCUACUCGUCCAUGGGUAUCUGGUUGUAUUCCGAAAAGGCAUCCAUGAAGCUGAGCAGACUGUGACCCGCUGUUGAGUCCACCAAUUGAUCUAUCUUUGGCAGGGGAAAACUGUCAUUCGGGCAUGCUUUAUUAAGGUCUGUGAAAUCCACACACAUUCUUCAUUUCCCGUUGGCCUUCUUUACCAGUACUACAUUGGAAAUCCAUUCCGGGUACUUGGCCUCCCUUAUAAAUCCUACUUUCAACAGCUUUUCCACUCGGCAUUUAUGGCCUCGUACCUUUCCUGGUUAAAGCACCUCUUCUUCUGCCUCACCGGCCUCGCCCCCUUCUUAAUUGCCAACUUGUGGCAAGCUACCCCGCGAUCAAUUCCUGGCAUGUCCUCGUGAGACCAGGCGAAUAUAUCUACAUGAGACUGUAGGCACUUUACCAGCUCGCCUUUUACUGCCCCGGCCAAUCCUGAUCCGAUCUUAACCACUCUGCUUGGGUUACUCUUGCUCACCGCAAUCUCUUCCAACUUCUCAACAGGUUCUUGGCGACCCUUUUUAGAAUCUCCUCGGUUAUCUAGAGAGGUAACCUGUAGCGUCUCCUUGGCCGCUGUAGCAUAACAACUCCUUGCCAUUCUCUGGUCACCUUUUACUACGCCAACAACUCCAUUUACUCUGUACUUCAGUGCCAGAUAAUGCGUGGAUAUAACGCAUUGGCUUACCCUCAUGAACGGUCUCCCCAGUAUCAUCUAGUAAGGGCUUAUUUCUUCUACUACGACAAAGUCCAGCAUCAUCGUUCUUUCAAACGGCUUUGACCCCACGGUAAUCGGGAGUUCGAUAAUCCCCAUGGGAGUUAACCUUCCCCCUCCAAAUCCCUUCAAGGAUGUAUUCGUCCGUUCCAAUUUCAAGUCUGAAAAUCCCAUAUCAUCUAGGGCCGACUUAAACAGGAUGUCAACCGAACUGCCCGUGUCCACCAGUAUUCGUCGCAAUUCUGUACCAGCCACCAUUGCCUUAAUCACCAGUGCAUCCUCAUGAGGAUAUAAAAUACCCUCUUCGUCGUCAUUUGUCCACAUAAUGGGAACUUGCCGCACUUUUGCCCUCUUGGCUGCUGGCAAAUUGAAAAGCACUUCUUUGCUGGUCAUGGCGUAUCUCCCAUAGUUCUUUCGUGCUCUGUUUGAAUCCCUAGCCAAUGUUGGCCCUCCUGCUAUCACACGGAUAAUCGACUGUUCACGUUCCAGGCCCCUCUCGGCUCCUUCAUCCCGCGUGUACUGUGAUUCAAUGACGGGGGACACUCCAUCUACAUAUUCAUCCAAGUAACGGUUUCUCACCAAAUCCUCCACCUGAAUCUUUAGGUCACGACAUUGGCUGAUAGUGUGACCGUGAGUGUCGUGGAAUUUGCAGAACCUGCUCUUAUCACGCCAGUGAGCAGGUUUUGUUAUAGGGGCCGGAGGGUAUAGCAAGCCACGUCCUUCGAUCCUCUCAUACAAUUCCUCCAUGGAGAUUUUUAAUGGGGUGUACUGUCUAUACGCCAAGCUCUGGUCAACCAGUUGAACUACUCGGCUAUCAUGGAUAUCACCCCGGGCUGGUAUCGUAGGUAGCUGAUCUGGUCGUCCUGCCCUGGAGUUAGGUGUAUGUAGUGCUCUGGGAGCGUUAUGAUAAAGGUGGGCAGCCAUCUGCCUGAAUUCUCGUUGCCGCUCCGGGAAUGGAGGGCGCGGAGGUUGAGCCCGGCUGUUUUGGAACUGUUGUGAUCUCUGAGCUAUGGGGUAAGGGCGGGACCGAGCUGAUAUUCCGCCCAUUGCUGAAGAUUCCCCAGCUCGCCUUCCCGAUCCGCUCCCGUUCGGGGUUUUCCGCUCCAUUCGUCUCAGCAUUUCCAGCUAUUCUCUUUUUAUCCUUGCCGAUUUCUCCUCUUCGAUUUCUAUAUCUCUCCUCGCCUGAUCAUACCCCGCCGAAUAAUUCUGUACCAAGGGACUUCUCAAGUUAUACCACAGUCGGCCUAUUCUCACCCCUUCUUUUAAUCCCCUCAACGCCUGCGGGUGAUUGAAAGCUCCCAAAUCCAGCACGGCCUGGUGGUAUCGUUUUACAAAAUCCCGAAGGGAUUUAUGUUCCUCUUGCUUCAUCCCCAUCAGUUCUAUCAUAUCAUCCUCUGGGGCCACUGCUCCUCGGAAUUGCUCCGCCAACUCUUGGCACAUCUCCUCGUGGCAGCUUGCGGUACCAUUCUCGGGCUCGUCCCUCUAGUGUCAAUGGGAACACCCUGCACCUCUGAGCUGGUGUCAACCCCUGCACACCCGUCAUGUCGUUGAAACGUUCAAUAUGCACCAGCGGGUCAUUUCGCCCGGAGUAUUUGAGGUCGGGGAAGCGGAAAUCUCUUGGGAUUACAGUACUCAUGAUCUCAGUUGACAACAGAGACUCUUCAUCUAGCAUUAUCCUCCAGUUCAGGGGUUUUCUCUUGCCCUGAAUCUCCUCCAUUAUCUGCGCCAAUCUACACACCUUUCCCUCCAACUCUACAGCACGGUCAGGGUCGCGCAUAGCUACCUGAUCUCGUUCCUGCUAGGCAUUCUGCAACCGCUGUCUGAGCUCUCCUUCAUCAACACUGGCUCCUCGGCCAUCAAUCUCCUGCACCCGUCCGGGGCGAGGUUGGUCCCUCCCUUCAUCCACGCGCUCUCCUGGAACCCGACCAGUACUUCUAUGGGGGUGCACCCCAUGAGGUUGGUCCAUCGGUGGAGGGAUUUCCUUGACUCUACGCCUCCGGAGGCUGGGCUCUGCUCCAACUUCGUCUCUCCCCACGGUGGUUUCACAAUCCCUUCUCCGCUCAUCCCUCAGCUCAUACAGUAUGGCCGUGAGAGUUUCCAUUUGUUUCUCCAUCCGCUCCAGUCGAUCUUGCAUCAUCCUUUCUCGAGCUUCUUCGCAAUCUCCCGGAGAGUGAUUGUCUCAACAGUCUCAUUGUCAUCCCUUAAAGUAUCCAUCCUUGAGGCAUCUAUAUCCAACCGUUCGCUGCUUUUCUGGUGACUACUGAUUUGGUGGUAGCUUUUUAUUCAGCUCCCCACAGACGGCGCCAAAAUGUUGAUGCUGAAAUCUGCUCGUCCUUUGCCCGACCAGAUCUUUACACCAACGCUUCUGUAAUCGGUAGUGAGGAUGUCAACUUCUUUUCGCCCCAACGACCGCUCUAGUCACUGAGAUUGGAAUAGGCCUUCCUUCUCCCACUAAGCCUGCGUUCACAAAAGUGGAUCAGAGACGCCGGUGGUUUUACCGGCGUAAACCCUCCGAUGCCUAAGUUAGCACAAGGUGUUUACGGAAAAACGGUGCAAUUUGGAUUCGAUAAAUUGCUUAUAAUUGGCUCACAGUUUGUACUAAAAACAGUCUGGUUUCAAUUUGGCAGAGUUUUCCCUUCUUCCCUUUUUUUUUUUGUCCCUUUCUUCAUUAGUUUCCUUAUCUUUUAUAGCCAUUGUUCCACGUUUCUGUUUACCCUUCAUCCCCCCUCUAUCUCGGAUCGUGGCAGCCCCAUGGGAUUCCAACUGCUAUAUUGUGGGUAAACGUGGGACACCGUAUCUCCCUCGGUGAUUCUGGGCAUAGCGCAACUGUCGUGAUUUCGUGAGAUUGUGUUCCCGCUUUUUGGGGAAUGAGUAUCUGCUCGGUAUUUGUCUCUGGUCGGUCCUUGCUCGUAAAAGACUCAUUAUCAGUGUUCUGCUCGUACCAUUUGGCUGAGGUGAUCCAUGCCGGGGUGGAAAUGAUGGCAUGGCUGAGCUGGUGCUCUUAGUUACUUAACAAACAUUCUAUUCUCUUCUUUACAAGGUGGAUAUGAUUUUAAGGUCACAUGUAUUUAGAGGCGAAAUUAGGACUUCUUGCAAGCUGGUGGUUAGACUAUAUUUUUUUUUAAGUUAAAAAAAGAAAAAGAAUCUUAAAGUAAAACUAUUGAAUUAAACCACAACAAUAAGUUCACAUUUUUUAGGUUUGAAAAUAUUUUUUGAAUUAUGUUUAUUCCAAAAAAAUCAAAUUUCAAAAUUGUGACUACGAUACCCCAUGAUUGCCAUACUCCACAACCUGUCACCGUUAGAUGGUUCUAAAUUAUUUACUUUAAUUAUUUUUUUAAUUGUCUAAUGAUACUUAGUCUAGGGAGUACGAUACCCUUAGAAAUCAUAGAUAGACACUUUACAAAAUUUAAAGCUAAAUGAGUAAUAAAUAUCUUGUAAUAAUUAGUUUACUUGAGACCAAAAAUAGAUUUCUAAAACAAGAUGGAGUGGGAAAGAAUUUGGGAAAAAUGACCGUGACCAAAUUUUAAAACAACUUGAGUGAUAAACUUGUAAAUUAUGUUGUGGUAUUUCGUAAAAAAAUAACAGUGAUAGCUAGUUUUAUAAAUACUGGUAAUUUUGUGAACAACAUAGUAAAAAAAAAAACUAAAUAAUAAUAAUAAUAGUAAUUAUUAUUAUUAUUAUUUUUUUUUUUGACGUAUCUUGGUUAUUUGGAAGUCAACAUAAAUUGUAUAUUUGCAAGGACAAGAAACUGUAAUUCAGAAAUUCGAGGAGGCAUGGUCAAAUUUCGACACUCUAAAGAAGCUGGGAGCAUCCAUUCUCCAUGGAGUUGAUGCAACUGAAAUGAAGGAACAUCCUGAAUUGAGUAAGCGGAAAUUUGAUAGAAUAAUCUUCAACUUCCCUCAUGCUGGCUUUCAUGGAAGGGAAGACGACGACAAAUUUUUCGAUGAGCUACCUAGUAAGUCCAAUGGACAUAUGUGUCAAUAUAGUGAGUUAAAAAUGGUUAUAUAUAAUAAGAUGGAACUUGAUAUAUAAAGUGAUCCAUAUGAAGAAACGAAUGUUUUUCAUUUAUUAAGUAAAACGUUAUACAUUGAGCAUAUUUAUAGAUGCAGAUAUUACAAUUUUUCAAAAAUUAGAUACACGUAUUACGGAAGGAUCUCACCAACCGCGUCGUUGCCGUUUGGUGCAGAUCGUGUCUUUGACAACUUCAAUUCGAUGUCGUUUUAUUGACAUUCUCAACACUCCCUGUAAUACCCCAAAUCUCCUGAGGGUAUUUAAAUAUUUUUAAUUUUUAGUGAUCAUUUUAACCCUAUGUCUUUCCCAUUAUAAGAGAGGGAGGGGGAGAGAGAGAUCGAUUGAGGAAAAGAAAUGACAGAAGAGAGAGAGAGAGAGAGAGAUGGAGAGAAAAUAGAGAAAAGAAAAGAAAAAGAGAAGAAGAAUUAUUCUUAGUUCUGCCAUAGGCGACACAUGGGAUCAAGUUGUAUUGUUUGAAUUGGAUAUUGUUGGGAGAAGUUUUGGAGGUAAGUUUUAAUUCUUGGUUUUCUUUAUUAAUUCGUUAUGGAGAAACAUGAUUAGAUAUUUGCAAUAGAAGUAGAAACCUAAGAUUUUACAGGAAAUAUGCUGACAAUGCAUUAUUACGAAAAUCAUAGUAAUUUGUACAAAUUGAUUUUAAUUUUGAUUUUUGGACAUGUUAAGCUAGACGUCUUAUAGAAUGUUUUGAAACUUGUUUCAAGUUAAUCGGAUAAGAUUUCAUUUAGUUACGAUUUUUCAAACUUAGGUCUAAAAGCCUGGAAAUUUCUGAUUUCAGUGAAUAACAUGAAUUACGAAAUUAUUUUUACCAUAGCUAGACUUCUUCAAAAAUUAUGAAAUUUGGAUCAGUGAUUUUUAUUUAUGUCUAAUAUGAUUCUGUAUGUUUUUAUGAUUUUAUGAUAAAACAAUAAAUUGUUUUGUAUUUCUAAACAAGUAUGUUCAAAACAGAAAAUUGUUUGAUAGUAUUGAUGAUGUCUGAAAUGUCAAUUUUUUUUUUAUAGUUUUUAAAGGAAUUAAGUUAUGAAAUUUUUAUCAAAGAAUUUUCAAUAUGUCAGCAUAUGGUCUAUAAAAUUUUAGAUUUUUCCAAUGAGAGAAUAAUUUAUUAAAAAUAGAAAACAAUGACUGUUUCGUUUUGAGGGUCGAACAUUGAGGACAUUUGAGGUUGAGUUUAGGAGCUAUUUAAAAUGAGAUAUUUGAGAAAAUUAAAGUUUAUGAUUGAGACUUGAUUAUAUCUUAUGAAAAUUUUAUUGAUAAUUUUAGGUUGACGAUAUCAGUACGCAUUUGUUACAUGAUGAUGCCAAGAAGUAAAUUAGACUUCAAAAUAAAUCACAAUAAACAAUAUGUAUAUGUUUGACUUGUUUGAAAAGUCUAUUUUUGAUAUUUACAUAUGUAGAUUUAUAUGUUUCUGCCCAUGUGUUUAUGUGAUGUAUUGUUAUGUGUUGAGCGUGAUUAUGUACAUGGGUAUAUGUAUGUGUGAAAUUUAAUUGGCAUAAGCACAAAAAUGCAUUGAGUUUUCUAUGAAUGAGAAAGUGGAUAUUAACAAAUGAAAUUUCUACUUUAGUAAACCCGUUCUCUAAAUCUUAUUUGGACCAUAACUUAGUAAACCCAUUCUUAGUUAGAGAACCCGCCAGCAACCCAUUCUCUUAUUUAUUUCGUAUCCUUCCCUCACAUUUUUAAUUGGCUUUUGUAAUUAAUAAGAAUAUCAACCUAAUAUACCAAAAAGAACAUUAUAAGUAUCAUAUAUUAAUGUAAAAAGAUACAUAUGUUAUAUAUAUUUUUUAUUUUUCUUGGUUUGUUAAGGUAAACAUUAUCAAACUUUUUUUUACUAAUUAAAUAAUUUAUCUAUAACUUGUCAUGUGUUUAACCAGUAAAAUUUAAGUAUUGUUAAUAUUUAUAAGUUAUAUAUGUCAAAAUAUCAUAUUUCAGAUGUUUUAAUUUCGAAAAAUAAACAACUUAACGCUUAUAUUCAGAUAUUGAAAAAAGAAAAAUAAACAUGUUAUUCAAAUAUAUGUAUUUAAACCUAUUAAAACUUUUGUUAAAUUCAAACCAAUUUAGAUUUCAGACAAAAAAAAAAAAACACGCUACCUAAAUCAUGUAAAUAAAUUAAAUACAUAAAUUAUGUGAUUUUAAAGGGUUCAUUUCAGCAAUUUAGCUGAGUCGUGUACUGCCUUUUGUGAGUUACAAGACAAAAGUUUACUUUCAAAUUACAGUUUAAAAUAUGUGUAAUUUUAUUUAAUAAUUGACUUUAAAAAUCCAUUACUGAAAAAAAAAUUUAACGUAUUGUGUAGGACAACAAGAUUAGAAAAGAAAAGAAGAAGAAAUUAAAAUAAAAAUAACUGAAAAAAAAAAGAUUUUAUGACGAGAUUAGAGAGUUGUCAAUAGUCCAACUCAUGUCAAAAAAAUUUAUUCAAGUCGAUGUGGGCACAAAUGGGCUUCCAAAAUAAAAUAUUUAUUACGCUUGGGCUUUGGGUUGUGGGCAAUUAAAAGUUACCAAGCCAUGGUAUUGUUCUUCAUUUCUUAGAAAACAAUAGCGACCGUUUUUCACAAGAAUUGGUCUUAGUUACUAUCUUUUCUGCACUCCUCUCUGUAUUCUCUUGUUAAUAUUCUGUUUUUCUUCAGUUUUUAUAAUGAAAAUGAUUGUGCAUCUCGUGAAUGUAAAUCUUUUUUAUGUUGAAUCAUGCAAAACCUCUUGUCUCAUAUGUUUUUGAAUAAUGAUUUGUCCCGUAGUUUAUUUUUUUAUAUUAUAGUAAUGAUGUGUUAUUCUUUGUGCUAAUUUUAUGCACCUAUUACUAUGGUUUUUUCGGUACUGCCUUUUUUUUUAUUUUUUAUUUCGUUUAAUGUCUUCCAACGAAGUUUUGCUGGGAAUUUAUACAAUUACUGAAUUAAGCUACUUUAUAUAUGUUGAAUAUAUAAAAUAAAAAAGACUCAACCAUAGGAUAGGAGUUCGGAAGGAAUCAUUUUCAUUUUAUAUGAUAAUCGCAUUAGUAACUUAGCCAGGAAACUUUGUGUGCACUGAUUGCCUCUAGAUUGUAAAUUCAAUUGAUCUCGUCUUGGUUGAAGUAGAUGAUAGUAAAUAGUAUCUGAGUUUCAUUUCAGAUUCCAAAAACAAUCCUCCAUGUGAAUGGUUAAGUAGAGAUUCACAUUGCUUUCUUUUUCUUUAGAGGAAUGGCUGACUCCUUUGAUCAUGAAAUUAUAUCACGGCUAUCACAAAAACUCGAGUAAUUCUAUUCAUAUAAUCAAAAUAGAGUUGAGUUCGAGCUCCUUCAUUUUAACCGAUUUAUUAUGAUGCAUAACCACAAAUGAUGAGAUGGUGUCGGAUAUGAUAAUGGGAAUUAGUUGUCAGCGAGAAAAUUAAUUCAUUGAUCUGAUCUUUGUUCUUGUUUAGCUUAAGUUUGAUUCAUGAGUCUUUAAGUCUGAGUUAGGUCUUGGGGUGUGAUUAAUCUAGUAGUCAUAAGGGUUAAUUUCACAACACUCUCCUAGUCCUUGGAAGUAAUUUAAUGAAAGGUGCAUCAAUUUGUUUGUGCAGCAACUGUAUGGCUAGAGAGUUUCAUGCUCUUGGUCUUCGCAGUUUUCUUAUUUGUAUGGUUUGGUUUUCUUUAUUUUUUGCCGACAAAUAAACAAAUCAACUUGCAAUAAAAUAAAUAUUAAAAUAAACUGAAAAAGCUCGAAUGCCGACAAAUUCCAGGUUGUUCAGUUCAAAAUUAAUUCUAUACUAAGUAUGAAGAAUAAAAUAAAAGCAAUAACUUGCAAAUUGAAAAUUCUGCAUUCCUAAACCAAAGUCCAAACAGGGGUAAACAUGUCUGCAAACAUAAACAAUGAUCAAACACUGUAGGCAGAAGCAUCGUUCUGCUUUGUAAAUUAGACCUGCUGGCGUGAUAUGGCGGAGGCUGCGGUGAACUUUGCUAUAGAGACCUUGGGUCCUUUGCUUGUCGAAGAAAUCAGAUUGUGGGGAGGUGUUAGAAAAGAAGUUCAAAGUAUCAAAAGCGAACUGGAGAGUCUCAGAUCUUUCCUGAAAGACGCGGAUGCAAGGGCAGCAGUCGAAGAAUUAGAAGGAGGCGGUGAGGAAAGUGUCAGAACUUGGGUGAAACAACUGAGGGAUGAAGCUUAUCUCAUUGAAGAUGUGAUCGACGAGUACACACUCAUGGUGGCAAAACUCCCUCAUGGGAGUGGCCUCGUUGGUGUUCUCCAUAGAAUCAGUCGUUUCAUAAAGAAGCUGAAGCUGCGGCGUGGAGUUGCUUCUGAGAUUCAAGAUAUCAAAUCAGCACUUGCUGCUAUAAAGGGAAGGGGAGAAAGCUAUCGAUUCAGAUCUAGUGAUGAACCAUCGAGCAGUGGAACCAGAAAUGUUAUCCCACAUGACUCUCGAGUUGGUUCCUUUUUUGUUGAAGAUGAUGAAGUUGUGGGCAUCGAAUCCAUUAAAGAUAAAUUGAUUGAUUUGAUGGUGAACGGAAGAUCCGAACGUUCAGUGGUUGCUGUGGUGGGUGAAGGAGGACUAGGCAAGACCACUCUUGCCGGAAAACUUUUUAACAAUGAUGGUUUAAAAACUCACUUCAGUAGCCGGGCUUGGGUCACCGUUGGGAAAGAAUACAACAAAAAUGAUUUGUUGAGGACAGUUAUAAAGGAGUUUCACCGUUUCUCAGGGCAACCUACUCCAGAGGAGACAGGCAACAUGGGAGAGAUGGACCUGAUCACCACGCUGAGGGACCACCUGAAGGACAAGAGUUACAUGGUUGUGUUCGACGAUGUUUGGAAGAUUGAUUUCUGGGGAGACGUGGAGCAUGCUUUACUUGAUAACAAGAAAUACAGCAGGAUAAUUGUCACAACACGGCUCAUGAAUGUCGCUAAGUAUUGCAAAUCAUCUUCCUCUGUUCACGUCCAUGAGCUUGAAACUUUGCCUCUAUAUGAGGCGUGGAAACUUUUUUGUAGAAAGGCGUUCGGACCAAGCUCCGGAGGCUCUUGUCCUUCAGAGUUGAAGGAGUUGUCCCAGGACAUCCUUGCAAAAUGUGGAGGUUUGCCUCUUGCUAUCGCGGCCAUAGGUGGACUUCUUUCAACCAAGAACAGGGUUGUAUCUGAAUGGAAGAAAUUAUUUGAUCGGUUGGGCUCAAUCUUAGGAGGUGAACCCCAUCUAAAAGACUGCAACAGAGUUUUAUCUGAAGGGUGUCAUGAUCUUCCUCACCAUCUCAAAUCAUGUCUUCUCUACUUUGGCUUAUUUCAAGAGAGCUGCAAAGUUAACUGUGCUACACUCAUCCGUUUGUGGAUAGCUGAGGGCUUUGUCCAGUACAGCAACCGCCCCACAUCUGAACAAGUUGCAGAAGAAUACUUGAAUGAGCUCAUUGACAGAAGCUUGGUUCAAGUUUCAGAGAGAGAUAUUUCUGGACGAGCUAGAAUCUGCCAAGUUCAUGAUCUUAUGCACGAGAUCGUCAUCAGAAAAACUGAAGAAUUGGGCUUUGGUCGUGUGCUGAACGGAGAGGACUUGAGUCAUUGCAGUAAAACUCGACGCAUAACUAUACAGAGAAGUAUUGAUGAUAGUGCUUUAGAGAGCAUCAAGGACUGGAAGGUCCGUUCUGUUUUUCUUUUCAAUGUAGAUAAGCUGCCCGACUCUUUCAUGAAUACAAGUAUUGCCAAUUUCAAGCUCAUGAAAGUACUAGAUCUGGAAGAUGCUCUUAUAGUUUACCUUCCUGAAGGAGUGGCAAGCUUACUCAAUUUACACUACUUGAGUUUGAGAAAUACAAAAGUAGAAAUAAUUCCCAAGUCCAUUGGAAAUCUUCUCAGUUUAGAGACUUUGAAUAUGAAAAAUACUUUGGUGAGAGAACUGAUUAAACAAAAACAAACUUUAUGCCCUUAAUCGUGCAUUUCCAAAUAAACACAUAUUUUAGGUAAUUUCGAAAUUUACCAUGAUCUCCCAUGAAUCCGACCUUGGAAGCUUGUUAUGGAGCUUUAUCGAGUUGCUACAAGCCUGAUCUAACUUCAGAAUUCCGCUUCCUUUGCUUCAGUUCCAGAAUCGGCUUUUCUCAACAAGUUACUGUACACACACGGGAGAGAAACGGGAGAGAGAGAGGUGCACUGCACUCGUGCCACAGAUUUCUUGAACAGUGAACUUCCAAUGGGCUGAAGUUACUUAAAUACAGUGGUUGAGCGCAAGGACCCCUCAUGUGUUAGUACAAAAUUGCCCAUCCCAUUAUGAGCUAAAUAACACAAUCAAGGAUUAUACUUGUCUAUAAUAUACUACUGUCUAGGGUAUGUCAAAAUCAGACUCAUUAACACAAUAUUUGAUCACUUAAUAAAUGAGUCUGUCAAAAUUGCUCCAUAAUAUUUGACAAUAGUCACGUAUUAAUUCAGUAAAAUAUAGAAAACAAUUAGAAUGAUUUAUGCCAGUCCACAUAAUGUGAGAAAUAAAUCUAACAAUCUCACACUUAGACGGCAGAAAUCACUCUAAGGAUAAAUUUAAAAAUAAAAUCAGAUGUAGAAAACAACCGAAUUAAUCAAUAUGUGACUAUAACAAAAGGUCAAAUGCAAGCAAUCACCCAAAACAUAAAUAAGUCCAAAGGUGCCAUAAAUAUCAAGUCAUAUGUGCACCGACAGGAUGCUCCACAUAACAAGACACUUAUAAACACGUGACUAUGCAGUAGUAUAAAAGUAUAAUUAUGGAAAUAACAUGACAAUGUGAUCAACAUGCUCAUUUCCACAAAGUCCACAUGUCUAGCAAAAUGAGACGAAAACAAUAUGUCUCCUAGACCAUUGCUUCUUUAUAACCAUAAUAAGACUCUAGCAAAAUGUCUCGAGAAGCGGGCUUCCCUUUUAAUCAUAAUGAGACUAAAUCAAAAUGUCUCAAGGAAGUCGUGCUUUCUUAUAAUUAUAAUGAGACUAAAUCAAAAUGUCUCAAGAUGCACACGGAAGGUAAGUCAUAAUGCUUCAGUCUUUAAUGUCCAUAUUGAGACUGAGCAAAAAUGUCUCGGACCAUAAUAUCCUCAUUCUAUACAUAAUGCCAUACGCAGCCAAAUGUGUACACAAUAUAUGGCAUAUCAAUAUCACAUAACAACAUGCAUGCAUGAUAACAAAACGAGUAAUACAUAAUCUCAUUUAAGUUGCAACUCAUAAUACAAACCAGAACUCCCACUGACUCAGCAUAUAUAAGUGGAUUCUAAUAAUCUCAUAUGCGUCACAUGCUCCCUAAAUACCUUUGGAGCUAAAGCUUUAGUAAGUGGAUCGGCUAACAUGAGUUCUGUAGGAAUAUACUCUACUGAUACAUAAGAUAGAGAAAUUUUCUCUCUCACAAAUAAGUAUUUAAUAUCAAUGUGCUUGGAACGUGAGGAACUCCCUGUAUUGUGAGAAAAAGAAACAGCUGCAGAAUUAUCACAGUAUAUUUUUAAUGGCCUCGGUACGGCCAAUAUACAAUCUAGCCCUGUGAUAAAAUUCUGCAUCCAUAAAGCUUGACGUGUAGCCUCAAAACAUGCUACAUAUUCUGCUUCCAUUGUUGAAGAAGCUAUGAGUGUCUGCUUGGCACUUUUCCAUGAUAUAGCUCCUCCUGCCAUCAUAAAGAUGUAACCAGAUGUGGAUUUCUUGUCUUCCAAGCACCCUGCGAAAUCAGCAUCAGAAUAUCCAACUAUAUUCAAAUAGUCAGAUUGCUGAUAUGUCAAUACAAAAUCUUUAGUGGCUUGCAAAUAUCUGAGUACUUUCUUUGCAGCCUUCCAGUGUUCAUAUCCAGGAUUGCUCAGGUAUCUUCCAAGUACUCCCACUGGAAAAGCAAUAUCAGUGCGAGUACAGACUUGAGCAUACAUCAAGCUACCCACAACAAAUGCAUACGGGACUGUUUGCAUUCUAGCUUUGUCGACAUCAUUAUCGGGACAUUGAGACUUGGAAAUCUUGUCACCUUUUGACAUUGGAGCUUGCCCAGGAGCACAAGACUGCAAAUUGAACCUUUUCAAAAUACGAUCAAUGUAAGUCUUUUGAGACAAUCCUAGAAUUCCUCUAGAUCUGUCACGAAGAAUCUCUAUCCCUAAUACAUAAUGGGCUUCACCAAGAUCCUUCAUAUCAAAGCUGUAUGACAACAUUUGCUUUGUCUCAAGUAAAAAAUUAGUGCCAUUAGCAGCGAGCAAGAUAUCAUCCACAUAAAGCACCAAAAUGAUAUACUUGCUCUCACUAACUCUCAAGUAUAUACACUGAUCAACAACAUUCUCCUGGAACCCAUAAGAGGUGACAAUAUCGUGAAAUUUCAAAUACCACUGUCUGGAUGCCUGUUUAAAUCCAUAAAUGGACCUUUUAAGCUUACACACCAUGUUUUCUCUAUCAGUCUCAACAAAACCAUCAGGUUGCACCAUGUACACAUCUUCAGACAAGCUCCCAUUGAGAAAAGCUGUCUUCACAUCCAUCUGAUGCAAUUCUAAAUUGAAAUGAGCUACCAAUGCCAUGAUAAUACGAAAAGAGUCUUUGGUAGAAACAGGAGAGUACGUUUCAGUGUAAUCAAUGCCUUCUCUUUGACUGAAACCCUUAGCCACAAGCCUGGCCUUGUACCUCUCUACCUGACCUCUGGCAUCUCUCUUGGUUUUGAACACCCAUUUGCAACCAAUUGGUCUACAUCCAUCUGGCAACUCAACUAAAUCCCAAACCCCAUUAUGAUACAUAGAUGCCAUCUCAUCAUGCAUCGCAUGUAUCCAAGAUGAUGAUUCUGAACAACUGAUGGCCUCUUGAAAGGUAAUAGGAUCAGAUGAUGAGUCAGCAUUAAAAUCAUGUUCCUGCAAGUAAACAACAUAAUCAUCAGGAAUUGCAGGUCUCCUGAUCCUCUCUGAUCUCCUCAAUUGCACAUCAGUAACAUCAUCCACUACAAUCAUAGGCUCCAUAUCAUGAUGAAGUUCAGGAUCAACUGAAGAAACAUCAAUGUGUGAUAAUCCCAUCGCAGAAGUCGGAAAAGAUAGAAUAGGCAAAACCACACGUUCUUCUCUUAAUGUAAGACUGCGAGGCUCAGAACUCACACCAUUGUGAUCAUCCUCAAAAUAAAUGGCACGAUCAGACUCAAUGAUUCUAGUAGUGUGGGAAGGACAAUAAAAUCUAGAACCCAUUGAGCCUAUACAAUAGCCAAUAAAAUGACCACUAAUGGUUUUCGAAUCAAGUUUCCUUGAUUGUGGAUUAUAGGGCCUCACUUCUGCUCUGCAUCCCUGGACAUGGAAAUGACGAAGACUCGGUCUCUUCCCUGACCACAAUUCAUAAGGAGUUUUGGGCACCGACUUACUAGGUACCUGAUUCAAAAUGUAAGCUGCAGUUCUUAAGGCUUCACCCCACAGAAAAUCUGGUAAGGUGGAGUUACUCAGCAUACACCGCACCAUGUCAAGAAGGGUACGAUUUCUCCUUUCUGCAAUUUCAUUCUGUUCAGGAGUUCCGGGCAUUGUAUACUGGGCUUCUAUUCCACAUUCCUGAAGAAAUUUAGCAAAAGGUCCAGGAUUACGCCCAGUUUCAUCAUAUCGCCCAUAGUACUCACCACCUCUGUCUGAUCUUACUGCUUUAAUUUUCUUGCCCUUUUGGAUCUCAACAUUAGCCUUAAAGGCUUGAAACACAGAUAAAGAUUCAAACUUUUCAGUAAGAAGUUCAACAUGACCAUAACGAGAAAAGUCAUCGAUGAACGUGAUGAAGUACUUAUAACCUCCAAUAGCAAUAGGAGUAAAUGGCCCACAGAUGUCUGUAUGUACCAACUCCAACACCUGUUGACUCCUCCGAGUUCUCUCUUUUCUGGCUUUGGCAGUAAGUUUGCCUUUGAUACAAUCAACACAAGUGCCAAAAUCAGAGAAAUCUAAAUUAUGAAGAAUGUCAUCUUUAAUGAGCCUUUCCAUCCUCUGUUUAGAAAUGUGACCUAACCGUUUAUGCCACAACAUAGAGGAAUUUUCAUUAACCCUCGCACGAUUAGAGCUAACAACAUUCAUAACAUGAGCAUUGGAUGAUGAUUCAACAGCACGAGAAAAUAAAUCAAUCAUAUAUAAGCCAUCAUAUAGAGUGCCAGAACCAACUAACUCUGAAUUGCGGAAUAAGUAAACUUUUCUAUCACCAAAAUGAAAAGUAUAGCCACAUCUAUCCAAAAUAGAUAUAGAUAUCAAGUUUCUCCUUAUAGAAGGAAUAUAAGUCGUAUCUAACAGAUCCAAAAAAUAGCCUGUGGCUAGAUGUAGUCUGACAACUCCUAUACUUUCAACUUUGGCUGUCACUCCAUUGCCCAUGUGAACUAUCAACUCCCCUUCAUUGGGCUCCCUCCUGCUUUUGAAUUCCUGUAAGGAAUUCGUUAUAUUAAUGGUUGCACCAGUAUCCAACCACCAAGUAUCAGAAGGAACAUCAACUAAAUUAGAUUCAAAGCCUACAAAGGCUACAUGAAUACCUUUCUUUUCCAACCAUGCUUUGAAUCCCCUGCAUUCAGCUCUAUUGUGCCCAGGUUUCUUACAAAAAUGGCACUUUCCCUUAAAGUUCUCAGAAGUGGAACCAAAAGUGGUAGAAGAAUUACCACGUGAAGUUUUCUUUCCAAACUUUUUCUUCUUGAAAAACUUAUUGCUGCCCUUUGAAGAGCCUUUCUUCACACUCCCACUCUCUUGAGUAGUUGCCACCAUGACAGUGUGAGAUUUCCCCUUCUUCAAUGAUUCCUCUUCUUGAACCACAUAAGCAGUCAACUCAGUGAUAUUCCAAGUGUCUCUCUGAGUAUUGCAUUGGCUUCUCAAAUUGCCAAAUUGUGGUGGAAGGGAUUCAAGGAUUUGGAAGACUAGGUAGUCAUCAGGCAGAUUGACAUCCAUGUCCUUUAACUUCUUAUGGUAACUGGUCAUCUUAAGGAUGUGCUCUCUGACCCCAGAAACACCAUCAUACUGGGUAUUAGCAAGCAGCCUCAGAUAGUUACCCUUUUCUGCCUUAUCUACCUUCUUAAAAGUUCUUCCAACAGCUGCCAAGUAAUCUUUGGCCUUAUCACAUGCAUGAAUGCUAUCUCUAGUUGUUCUAUCAAUGAUGUAUUUCAUUGUAUCCAGACAGUGUCUAUUGGAUUCAUCCCAAGCUGCCCACUCUGCUUUUCCAGCAGCAGUGCUCUUAUCUGUGGGCUUGGCUGGUUCAUCAACUCUUAAUGCCAAGUCUCUAUUCAAUGUAGACAGAUAAAACAAAAUGGACUCACACCAGUCCUCAAAAUUUGUCCCAGUUAAAUUCUUGAGGGAGGCUACUUGGAGAAAUGAGAGAAUAUCUAGAGCUGAGGAAGCAAUAACAAAAGAAUUAUCAAGCAUGCAAAAAAUUAAAAUCAUGCUAUACUCAAUUACUCUUCAUUCUAAGUUUCUCCAAUAGCAACACAAUAUGUUAGGCAUCCUUUAACAAUAUAGGAGUGCACUAACCUAAAGAUAAAGCAGACAAGUUGAAUAUAACACCAACAUUGACCUAUUACCGACAGGGUAAUCAAGCCACUCAGUAGAAAAUACUCAACAAAUCUCUUUAUCUUCCCAAGUAUCCUACCAAGUAGUGAUUUUCCGACAAGGAAGUAUCAUCACCCGUAUGGAUCUUGGUAAUAACAAUAACAAUUCAUCGCAAAAUUCAUAAUCAAUAAUGACAAAUGGGCAUCUAAUUGCAAAAUACGAAAUAAUUUAUCAUGAUUGGCCCUACAAUAAGCAGAUACACAAUCACUCUAAAUUGUAGUUUUGCAUCAUAUAUAUAUUUCAUACAUUAACAAAAUUGAGGCUAAAUAAACUUUGUCAAACGCAAUUAAAGUUUCUACUAAGAUAUUAAAUCAAAAAAAAUAUCUACACGCCUCAAUAAAAUAUAUGAAUUUUAUGCCCAUAAUAUCCAACAAUGAUGGAUUAUUAUAAAUUCUAAAUUCUAAAAAAUCGCCAAAAUUGUAAGGCUUUUGGACUAAAGUGACGAAUUUUCAGAAUUAUGAUUACUGUUUUAAAUAUUAAAACUAUUGGCCCAAACUGUAAAUAAAAUAAAAUAAAAUGUUGGGCCAUAAUAUAAUUUAUCAUAAUUAAAGGGACCAAAUGAUGUUUGACCACGCUGACCUUCGGUCAAGGACCAUUAUGAAAAUUUUGCAAAUAUUUUGGGCCAUAAUGACAUUUCGUAUAAAGUUUAGGGUAUGUCAAAAUCAGACUCAUUAACACAAUAUUUGAUCACUUAAUAAAUGUCAAGGACCAUUACUUGUCCAUAAUGUCAAGGACCAUUACUUGUCCAUAAUAUACUACUGUCUAGGGUAUGUCAAAAUCAGACUCAUUAACACAAUAUUUGAUCACUUAAUAAAUGAGUCUGUCAAAAUUGCUCCAUAAUAUUUGACAAUAGUCACGUAUUAAUUCGGUAAAAUAUAGAAAACAAUUAGAAUGAUUUAUGCCAGUCCACAUAAUGUGAGAAAUAAAUCUAACAAUAACUUUCAGUUGAGAUCAGGAAUCUUAAAAGGUCUCGUUAUCUAAUGGUGUAUCAGUACAAUUAUACCGCAGGUGCAACAGUAGCAGAAGAAGCAGCAGUAAAAUUACACGAGGGCUUUGGGUCUCUAACGAAUCUGCAGAAGUUGUGUAUUAUAGAUGCUGACUCUGAAGCGCUCAAAGAGCUUAUGAAGCUAAGGCAGUUAAGAAAGUUGAGCAUGAGGCCCCAAAAUGGAAGUGGCAAGGAUCUGUGUGCUUUGAUUGCAAAUUUCGAAAACCUAGAGAAUUUAACAGUACUAAUGAAAAGCAAAAAAGAAGUACUUGACUUGCAAUCUUUGAGUAAUCCUUCUCAAUAUCUGCAGCGUCUCUACUUGAAAGGGAAUAUGAAGAAACUGCCGGAUUGGAUUGUUAAACUAAAAAAUGUAAUCAGAGUCCUUCAAGCCUUGCCUAAUUUAUUGGAACUUUUACUCAUAAGGACAUACAACUACGAGCUUUUUCACUUUGAAGCAGGUUGGUUUCCAAAACUCCAAAUAUUGAAUCUCUUUGGCUUCGUCCCUGUGAAAUCGGUUAUAAUAGAGAAAGGUGUUGCGGAAACGUGGGUUGAGCAAUUACUAAUACUGCAACUUCUGGAGAAAUAUAAAUGUGGUGAUAAACAAAUGCAAAGAAAAUAAAACACAAUAUAUUUACGUGGUUCGGCGUAAUGCCUACGUCCACGGGCAAAAACUGGAAGAUAAUUUUACUAACAAUGGAAUUUACAAAAGUGGGAAAAACUCACAAAACCCACAACCCCAAUACACCCAAAUAGAACCUCACUAGAACACUCAAGUGGAAGCUCUCUCAAAUUCUCUCAAAGAACUCACUUGCAAUUGCUCUCUACUUCUCUCAAAUUGGGAUGAUUAACAAAUGAGGAAUUGCCUUCUAUUUAUUAGGAAAAAUGGGGUGCACUAUUGCACCAACCCCAACAAAAUUGUCAACAUAAAUUAGGCACCUACCUUAUGAAUUUGUUGUCAAAUUUGCUUCUCCAAAGUUGAAUGCAUGCAGGGCAACAACUUGUCAAAUAUUUGUGCCACCAACCUCCAAUUUGUCAAGAAACAAACGUGUGAAAAUAAGCUUUGUGGGCUGACUUUUCAACAAAAGGUGCGAUGCCUGAUAUUAGAGAACUGCGGAUUGGGCCUUGCCCAUUGUUGAUGGAGAUUCCUAUUGGAAUUGAACAUCUUAAAAACCUUAAGCAACUCAGAUUUGCUAGUAUGGUUAAACAAGUUUAUUACAUGACAAAAGGCGAGAACUGGGGGAAGGUUACUGAGCAUAUACCAGAUGUCCUUGUCACUUUUGUGCAGGCCGGGCGACUGUUUUAUUAUCGAAAAGAGGAUCUCUCAUCUCUGUCUCCUGAAUAUGUCGAGCAAAUCUGCUGAAGAAGAGGACUCAAAUAGGGAGCAGUCAUGCACGUCUAUGAAAUAAGUAAAUAGGUCUGCCACUCUCCUGCGUAUUUGGAUUAUUUUCUAUUUACUUUUAAGAAAAAUUAUUUUUCUCAUUUUUAAUUUGACAGACAAUUUAAUUAUAUAUAAUUCAAAUAAAAAUUCACCAAGAAAAUUCCUUUUUCCUUGUAAUUUGAGUACGUUUAAUAAAUAAAUAAACAAAUGCAGUAGGUCAGGAAAUCUUUUUCUAGUCAAAUAUAUAGUUAGAAUCAUAUAAUGAUUAGGUAUUAAUGUUAGUAUAGUAAAUUCCGUUAUAUUUUUUGUUACCAUGAACAGAUGGAGUAUAUAUAUCUUGCUUCUAGCGAAUUCAUUGAUGAGUUCAUCGAACCUAUACUGGAUCAGAUUGUGGGGGUAAUGCUACUAUUGAUAUGCUUUGAGUUUGAGUAAUUAUUAUCAGUGUUAUCGUGUAAUACAUGCUUAUGUGAGUGGUUGCUGCUGUGAGUGUGAGUGUAUUUCUAUAUAUUUAAAUCUGAGAUUAUGAUUCUAGAAAUAUUGUAUUA